CGGGGUCUUGAAGAGCCUGUUUCAGUAACUUGCCAUUAAUUCUCUCAUACAUUCCAAUCCUAAAAAAUGCUUCCAUCUUUUAGCUGCAACAGUUUAUAAUCAUCAGAAAGGUCUAGUCAGAAUAAUAUUACCUUCUCCUUUUUAACAGUUUUUUUUUUUUAAAUCAUGCCACUACAACUGUAGCUGCGCUCAUGUCAACAAUUAAUUCCUAUAAUCGACAUCAAAAUUAUAUGAAAGAAUUAACAUUUGGAUACCGAGUUACCAUAUUUGAAGAUAAGGCGAAAGGUAAAAACACAAAAGGCAAGCAUGACCAAGCAAACAAGGUAUGGACAUUGAUUUUUUUGAAUCGGGAAUGGCCAAAUGGGACCGUGAAGAGGUGACAAAGGAGAAAUCAGGCAUUCACGGUUUCCAUUGGAUGAAAUGAGAUAAGAUCACUGUGCUUCUUCCACGUGGCAGGUUGCCAAAGAUAAGGCUUUACCAUUCAAGAAAAGUUUCCACCCUCUUUGUGGUCAUUAUGGUUGUAAUGUCAUCUGAUUUAGGAUCCAACGGUCACCCUUUCUCCUAAACCAAUCUCUAAAUGUGGUGAGCUUAGGCCAAAUUUAAUGACUAUAUAUAGGGGAUUGCACCAAGGCAGUCACACUAUUAAGGGAUCAGUGAGACUCUUUUGUAUACCUGUAGCAUAUAGUAAUAGUAAGCAGUAAUAGCAAUGGCCUCCUCCAUGAUCUCAUCGGCAACCAUUGCCACCGUGAACCGCUCCUCCCCGGCACAGGCCAACAUGGUGGCCCCCUUCACGGGCCUCAAAUCUGCCUCUGCUUUCCCAGUCACCAGGAAGGCCAACAACGACAUCACUUCUCUUGCAAGCAACGGUGGGAGAGUGCAAUGCAUGCAGGUACUUGGUGAUGCAUAAAUACCACUUAAAUUACCCCAAGUGUUUGAACACAACAAAUUACAUAAAUUGAAUCAAAUAUAUAUCUUGGCUUUUGAGUACAGGUGUGGCCGCCUCUUGGGAAGAAGAAGUUCGAGACUCUCUCAUACCUGCCCGAUCUUACUCCCGUACAGUUGGCUAAGGAAGUAGAUUACCUUCUUCGCUCUAAAUGGAUUCCUUGCUUGGAAUUCGAAUUAGAGGUGUUUUGGAGCUCUAAAUUAUUCCAUUCCUCCUCUUAAUUUUUUUAGUGGGAUAUUUGAGUUGAUUAAGUGUGUUUUAUAUGUAUGUGCAGGAGGGAUUCGUGCAUCGUAAGUACUCGAACUUACCCACGUACUACGAUGGACGCUACUGGACCAUGUGGAAGCUGCCCAUGUUCGGGUGCACCGACUCGGCUCAGGUGUUGAAGGAGCUUGAGGAAUGCAAGAAGGAAUACCCCAAUGCAUUCAUUAGAAUCAUUGGGUUCGACAACGUUCGUCAAGUGCAGUGCAUUAGUUUCAUUGCCUACAAGCCUGAAGGCUACUAAGUUGUUUACUUCCCUCCUAGGAAUUCCAUUUGUUUCAAAGUUGUACUUAAAUUAAGCCCCUCAAACCCCCCCCCCCUUUUUCUUUUUCUUUUUUAGUUGAGUUAUUUGGCUUGGGGUCUUUCUCUUUGUUUUGUUUUUGGAUUUCCAAUGGAACGGCUGAGAACUAAUGAAUAAAAAGGUAGUUUCUUGCCAUAUUUCAUGAAUCCAGUUCUUCCUCCAUUUUCAGUGCUAAGAUAUUCAUGUUAAGAUAGGAUAAAAAUUAAAAGAAAAAAAGGUGAUUGGGUGGUCUGGCUUUAAAAUAAGAGGAUAAAGAUUUUGUGGACAAGCAACGCUGUGCUGUUGGAGGCUCAUUAUCUUAGUACAUAGGAAUACACCAAACAAACCAUUUAUAUUAAAUUGUUUUAUUAUGACAUCACAAGUUUCUAUUAUUAAAAUAACAACUUAAAAAGGCUAAAUUCAAAUAUAUAUAUUCUGCAUUCAAUCUAUUUCCUCGUUAAAUAUUAAAAUCACUAUUGGUAUAGUGAUAAAUGAUUUGCAUUACAUAAGUUUUAGUUGACAUCUUCGAGCUUAAUUUAAAAAUAAUAAUAAUAAAUUUAAUACAUAAUAUAUUUUUAUUUUAUCAUUUUCACCCUAAUUUUUUUUUAAAGUCAAAUAUUAGUUUGUUUUGAAUAGAAAAAUUGAAGAAACUGUUAAAUUUUUAAUAACACCAUGUGAUAAUUUAUAUGACAGUUUACAUAUAUUUCAUUGUUUAUGUGGAUAAUUUUUUAAAAGAAAUUACAAUUUUUUAAAAAAUAUUAUUUUUAAUUUUAUAAAUUACAUCACGCAAGCUAUUGCAUCAAUGCCAUUUAAAUUUAAAAGAUGUAGUCACUUUUUCCAUCUAAAAAAAAGCAAUUUAACUAAUUUUCAAGGUUGACGGUAAAAUAUCCAAAAAAAUAAAAUAAAACUAAAAUAAUAAAAAAGUAUUGAAUUUAUUAUUAUUUUAAAAAUAAUAAUUAUGAUUUUCUUUAUUAGUUUUUAACCCAACAUGGAAAAGGAAAACCAUAAUAAUGCUUAGUAAUUAUAAUAUUGAAUAAUACUAGUAGCUCUAUGUUCUUAAACUCAAUUUCAUUACAAAAAUUGUAACUCAAAGGGUUAGGAUUUUUUGUUUUCUAAUUUGUGAUUAAUUAGUGGACUAUAAUUUCCAUUCUCUUUUUUAUAUAAAAAAAACCCUAAUAUUAAGGAUAGCUACAUUUGUGGAGGAACCAAAAGAUAGAGAAAUUCAGAUAAGAAUUGUCUCCCUCUCCCUCUCCCUCUCCCUCUCCCUCUCCCUCUCCCUCUCCCUCUCCCUCUCAGUCGAAGUGCGCCAAUAAUUGGAAUAGAGCUCUAAAAAUGCAAUUCUAGAAAAAAAAAUUUGCCUAUCAGAUAUUAGUUUAAAUAUUGGUUAAAUUGCGAUUCGAAUAAGUAAUUAGGAAUAGAAAAUAUAAAAAAUGACACUAACGUAAUUCAAAAAAUUUCACCAUUUAUAAGGUUUUGCUCAAAAAUUGACAUUAAAAAUUUGUUCGCACGGUUCAAAAAAAAUUUCCAUUUAUAAGGUCUUACUUAAACAUUAAAAUAUAAUUUAAAUUCAACUCACUCUCAUUAAAUUUAAAAAAAAAAAAAGUUUAGUUAUAAACUAAUCCAUAAAAAUAUAUUACUUACAAAGAAUUUACACUCAGAUAGAUUUCUAAUAUAAACAGAAUAAAUACUCUCUCAACUCCUCUAAAAAAAUCGAAAAUACAUUUAAAUAGGCAUUAUGGUAAUUUUUAAAAUGGUAAUGUGAUCAAAAUGAAUAUGGGAAAUCUCAUUUCAAUUAAAUAACUUAUUAUAAAAUAUAAUAAAAGAGAUUUUCUUAAAUCAAUCUCUUUUAAAUGAGGUAGGCAUAUUACAUAAAGAUUCUUUGAAAUUUUUCACUUCAUUCAAUUUUUUUCAAUAUUGUAAUUUACUUAAAAAUAUAUAAAUAUAUACAUGUUAAGUAAAUUAUAAUAUUUUGUCGACUUUUGGCCUUUCCUUAAGUCGCAACUAACAUUAUAACUGAUGUUAACAAAAUUCAUAACUGUUUCUCUACCAUGUGUAGCCUAAAAAUGUUAAGAUUAGAGAAGCAAUACGUAAAAGAUAAAGAAAAGAACGAUAAAAGUCAUUGUUUUUUUUUUAAUUUUAAGAUAUGUUUUUAAAAAAAAAGAAAUUAAAGUAUUUAUUCUGUUAAAUUGGAUAGUAAUUAUCUAAAAUUUUUAAAUACACAUUAAAAUAUUCUCAAUCAUUAAAAUUUUUUAUUUACAUCUUACGGCCAGUUUUGUAUUGCUUCUCAGAAGUAUUUUUUAAGAUAAAAUGUAUUUUUGAGAUAAAAUAUACUUUAAAAUGGUACUUUCUUUACCAAAAGUAAGAGGAAAUUUAAACUUUAACUCAAAAGAAUUUUUUAACCCAAAGCGCUUUUAAAAAGUAUUACUAAAUUAGCCUUGCUCUCGUAAGUACAAAAAAAUAUAUAUCAAAUUUGAAAAAAUAUAUAUAUUUCGCAGGUUACUGAAAUAUCUUAAAUAUUUGAGAAAAACCAACCAGAAUAAAUCCAUCCAAUGGAAUACUGAGAAAAAAUAAAAUAAUAGUUGUAAGAAAAUGAGUGGCGUCACAUUUACACUAAUGGUUUCCCAAGGGGUACAUGAGAAGUUUUUAAGGCUCCUAUAAAUUUAUUUUCGGGACCAUAAACGUAGACCUACCAAUAAUUGCAUUUGUUUUCUUUUUAUACUUUUAUAACUCAUAAUAUUGUAUAUUUAUAUAAAUCCCAAUUUUUUCACUCAUAUAAAAUAUAGUGUUAAAUUCGAAUGAAAAAAGAUGCUAAAUUUGUGUUGGGUAAAAAUAUAAGAAUUUUAUGUUAUUUGCAAAAUAUUCCGUGGUAUUUAUGUUAGAACCGUAAAUAAUAUCUAAUAUAAAUUAAAAUUGCAAAUUAGGAUCUGUCAUGUCAAAUUAUCAAGAAUAUAAAUCAAGAAAAAAAUUAGAUGCGGGAGCGUACUUAAAUUUACCGAUUUCUUGAAAUCUAUGGAUCUUGGAGUUUUGAUCUUCCAAAUUAGCAUACAAGUAAUCUAAAGAAUGUGACUCUCUUUUGGCAUAGACAAAAACAUCAAAGCAAUUCACGCAUAUACGUGUAUGCAAAAUCAGAUAGAAAAAACUUAUCAUGCAUAUACCAUGUAAAUCUAAAAUUGUAUUAAUGAUUAAACAGAGAUUUGCAUGAAUACUUGAAAAAUACAUUCAAGCUAAUAAAUCUCAAAAAAUAAAAUCAUAAUAGUUGAUAUAUCCCAUAGUUCAUAUUGUAGACCAUAUCAACAUAAUUUAACUAAAUAUUUGGAACCAUAAAAUGCCAAAACCUAAUGUUGUAGAACCAACCUUAAAACCAAAUUAUUUAAACAUGUACAUAGUUUAUAUGAAUUUGCAUCAAACACCCGUCAAAUUGAAUAUAUAACCAUAACAGAAAAAAAAAUUAACAACGUCAACGAUAUCCAUCAAAACUUAAUGUCACCAAUUAAACUAUAAAAUGUAUCUUAUUGAAUAAUGGUUAUAAACACCUAUCCACGCAAACUAUAAUCAUGUAUUAAUCCUCAAAAUCAUUGAUAUGCAUAAUAUAUAUAUAUAUACAAUAUAAUAAUAGAAAAAUAAUACUGGCUUGCCUUACAUAUUUUAUGUAAACUCAAAUUUAUAUAUAAAACUUAUUUAUACGCACAAACACUUAAAAAAAUCCAUAACCACCAAAUAUAAAAACAAUCCCAAAUUAUAUAAAGGCCUUCAUAUGCGCAACUAUUUAUAAAAAUUUAUAGCCACCAUAUAAAAAAAAACCCAAAUAUUUUAAUUUUAGUUUGGUUCCAUAAGAAACUUAUAUAAAAUAAUUAUAACAGAAACCAAGUAAUCAUUCGUAUAUAUGAAUUGAAUUCAAUCGUGAAUAUAAUUCAUCAUGAAUAAAGACAAAAGAUGAUAAUUCCAUAUACAUUCAACCACAAACAGAAAAUUUAAAAUAAAUAGUGCAGAAAAAAUAUCUUAACAACAUUUAUUUAUUCGAUUAUCAAGUGAAUUACUAUUCAAAACCAAUUAUACAACCCAAUUGAAAUUCUUCAAUUGCAAAAAGUUGUAAGUCUGUAACUUUAAUCUAAUAAUAACUUUAACCAAAAUUUAUAAAAUAAGUGUGCGAAAAGAAGAGAAAGAAAUCUCACAAAUCUAUUUUUAUCAAUUGAUUAUAAAUAAAUAAAUAAACCUUCAUCUUUCGAAUAACAUAUGCAAAUAUUAAAUUAGAUUAUAUUUAUAAAACCCUAAACUUUAUUUAAAGAAUCAAAACCCAAAAAUUUUAUUAAGAAUCUCAAAGAUUUAACAUAGUAUAUAAUUAAAAUAUCAAAUCCAUAAAUUUAAAAAAGAAAAAUGAAUCAAUCCAAAAAUAAUAAAGAAUCAAUUCAUUCCCUAUUAUUCAACAUGACAAGCUCUGAUGCCACUUGUUAGAACCGUAAAUAAUAUCUAAUAUAAAAUUAGAACUGUAAACCAAGAUCUGUCAUGUAAAAUCAUAAAAAUAAAUCAAGAACAAAACUAGAUGCGGAAGCAGAGCUGAAUUCAUCGAUUUCUUGAAAUCUACGAAACUUGGGGUUUUAGUCUUCCAAAUUAGCACACAAAUAAUCUAGAGAAUAUGAUUCUCCCUUUUCUAAAGAUAGGAUAUUAGAAAUGUUACAUUGUAUGUAAUUUGGAAACCAUAACCAUAAUAUAUAUAUAACUUUGGCACAUUAGCCCUAAUUUCUAAUCAACUCAUCAUCAAUUAAAAAUUAAUUACUAGAGUAUCUACACAUAUUUGACACAUAUUUUUUUAAUAAUUAAAGCCCAAUAAACCGUAACUAAAUUAAAUCACUUUUAAUUUAAACUAACCUAUUAAAAUAAUAAUAAUAACAUGUAAUUACCCUUAUUAUUAUAUAUAAUAAUAUAUAAUACUAUUAUUAUUAUAUAUGUAAUGUCCAGAUUUUCAAUCUAUUUAUAUAAAUCUCUCCUAAAUUAUGCUUUCACGAACUUGUAAGAGUCAAAACUGUUGAAAGCUGCUUAUGGGGUGUGGCUGUAUAAUAGAUCGAUCAAGGUAGUGCUGAGCGAGUUUUUGUUUUUGUUUUUCUUAUAUAUAUACUCUAUACAGUUAGGUUGAUACACACGUGGAAGGAAUAUGUUAGAAAAAUUAAAUACUAAAAUAAGAAAUAAAAUAAUGGUUUAAAACAUGUAAAACAUUUUUCUUAAAACUUUAAAAUAUUUUUAAAUUACAUCAGCACUUCAAGUAAAAUAAUAAAAAUAUUAAUAAAAAAUCCAUUUAUAUAAACAUCCAAUAGGUGAUAUAUUAAUAAAAAAAUUUGAAAGUAUUUUAAAAUUAAAAAAUAAAAUAUAUAUAUUUAUUAUAUUCGGGCCAGGCCGGGGCCAAAAAAGUAGUGCCCGAGGCCCGGCCUGUUUUUUAAACGGGCCUCAUUUUUUUUACCCAAGCCCAUAUUUUGGACCUAUAUUUUUAUCCGAACCCUCCCAUAUUUCGGACGAGGCAUCGGGCCGGGCCGGGCAUGGUCAGGUCUACUAUAUAUGCACACCCUCCGUUCAAAGAGUGUUAUCUAAAUAAAAAUUUACCCAAUUCUUUAAAUCUAAAAAAUUAUAUAAAUCAAUAUCUUUUAACCACUAAACCAAACAUAAAAGUUAACGGUGGAACAGUGAAUUGAGUUGAUUAUAUUUAGAACAUCACAUCACAACCACAUCAGCUUCCAAAAUAAUAUGAAGAAGAGUUAUCCAAAUGUGAAGCUACCAAUGUCCCGACCCUUAGCUGCUUCAACCAUUCCAUUACUAUCUCCCAACCACCCUGCCUUUGCCUCCCCUUUCUUUAUUGCUCUCGUUCGCUCGCUUAAAUUUUAAUCCUACUUUUAAUUUUAUAUUUAUUAUAUUAAAAAUUCCAUUGAAAAAUAUUUCAAUAAUUAAUUGAAUUCUCAAAUAGGAUAAUACUCAAUUGAGUUUUUAAUUAAAUUUAACUACUCAAUUGAAUCCUCAAUCGAAUUUAAGCAAUUAAUUAAAUUUUCAUCUUUUAACAUCGUUAAUUUGUCAAUGACUUCAUCACGUGUUAUGCCAGGGUUGUGCCACGUAACGAAAUUUGGUAAUUUUUAUUAUAUUUAUUUUAAAAAUAAUAAAAAAUUUAAAAAAAUAAAAAAGGCAUUUAAAAUUUUAGAACAUUAAAAGAAAAAAUAGACUUUAAAAAAAUUAUUAAAAAUUAUAAAAAUAGAAUUCAUUAAAAAGCAUAAUUUUUUUGAAAUUUUAGAAAAAUAUUUAGAAAAAUAGAAUUUAGAAAAAUUAUAAAAAAAUCAUAAAAAAUUAUAAAUAUAAUUUUUAAAAAUUAUAAAAAAUGGAAAUAUUAAAAUAUUAAAAUAAUAGAAAUCAUUUAGAAAAUAAAAUAUAAAAUAUUUAAAAAUUAUAAAAAAUUUAAAAAAUUAGAUAUUUUAGAAUUUUUUAUGCUUUUUAAUGAUUUUACAAAAAACAUUUUUUUAAUAAUUUUUAUAAAUUGUAUAUUUUUAAAAGUUUCAAAAAAUUUAAAUUUUUAAAAAUAUUUUUUUAUGAUUUUUUAUAAAAAAAUUAAAUUACCAAAUUUCGCUACGUGGCACAACUCUAUUGUGCCACAUGGGGGAGUUAAUGUUGUGUAGGGGCUUUUGAAUGAUUAAUUGAGUGCUUAAGUUUGAUUAAGGACUCAAUUGAGUGUUGCUUUUGAUUGAGAGCUCAAUUGUUUAUUGAAUUAUUUUCAAGUGACUUUUUUAUAUAAUAAGUAUUGUGGGGUGUGCCUCGCAUUUAUCGGACAGUUUGCAGACACUUACCAAAGUCAGCCAGCAAUGUCACGACGAGAAGCUUCCCGAAGUUGCGAUGACGAACGACAUUAUGAUGACGUAAAUGAGGACGUUGCGAUGUGACAACGUGUUUCCCACAAACACCGAAUUUCUUUUCCUAAUUAAACUAUGUUAUCUUUUCCCAGUCGAACUCUAAUUACUCUAGGGAUAUUUUAGUAAUAUUAUGACUUUAAUAUUAGCCUAUUUAAAUGGUUUUUGUAACCCUAUUUUAGAGAGUUAAUAUAGAAUAUCUCUUAUGUGAGAUUUGAUGAAGAGUUUUGGGGAGAGUUUUGGAAAGAGCUUUGUAUUUAGGUUUUUGAGUUUUGCUCUUUUAGGAUUAUUUUCUUUAUCUUGUACUCUCGUAUGUUUACUCAUCUAGUGAAAAGUUGAAGUCUCAUUUGCCCGUGUCCUUUUUAUCCUCUUAACUGAGGGUUUUCCACAUAAAUAUUUGUAUGUUUGAUCUUCUCUAUUUUCUUGUUCGUUGCUUAUAUAGGUCGAUCCUCAACAAACUAGUAUCAGAGCUAGGUUAUGUUUUUGCAAUCGACCCGUUCAAGUAUAAUGACAACGAUUUUGAUAUUGAAAAGUUCGAUGAAAUCAUAGAUUUCAUAUUGUAACAGUUUCAGAUAAAGUAAAGUGUUUAAAGCAAGGUUGGUCGCAAAGGGUGACAGUCAAGUGGAGGGAGUUGAUUUCCUCAAUGCUUUCUCUAUUGUUGUGAAGCACACAUCCGUUCAGGUAUCAUUGGCAUUGGUUGCAUUAUACAACCUUGAUUUGAAGACUAGGAGUCUUUCGGUUUCCAAGUUCGAGAACGGUUUGGGCUUGGUUGACAUUCUGCAAAGAUCGAGUUCUGCCUGUGGCGGGACCUGGAGAAGAAGGUACGAUAAAUACGAGUCAAGGUGGAGGUUUGUAGGGUGUGUCUCGUAUUUAUUGGAUAAUUUGUAGGCACUUACCAAAGUCAGCUGACGACGUCACGAUGAGAAGCUUCCCAACGUUGUGACGACGAACGACUUCAUGACGACGCGAAUGAUGAUGUUAUGACAUGGCGACAUGUUUCCCACAAACACCGAGUUUCUUCUCUUAAUUAAACUCUGUUAUCUUUUCCUAGUCGAAAUUUAAUUACUUCUGGGAUAUUUUAGUCGUUUCAACCUUUUAAACUUAGUCUAUUUAAAGGGGUCAUUGUAUCCCUAUUUUAGAAAGGCAAUUAAAGAUGUAGUACUAUAGAGCUCCCUUUUGGGGACGACAAUAUGUAGUUGCAAAUGAGUUUUAGUGAGAGUUUUCGUAGUAACUAUGGAGAGAAUUUAGUUCCCAAGUUAAGACUUUGUUUUCAAGGUUUGGGUCUGUACAUUUAAUACAUUUAGGUUUAUUUUUUUCAUCUUAUACCCUCGUUUGUUUACUCAUCUAGUAAAAAGUCGAAGCCUCCUUUGCCCGUGAUUUUUAUCCUCUUAAAUGAGGGUUUUCCACGUAAAUAUUUAUGUGUUCGAUCUUCUAUAACUUUUCUAUUUCGAUAUUUAUACAGGUCAAUCUCUAACAAAUAUUAAUUCUAGGAAUUUAAUAAUUGAAAAUCAAUUAAAAAUAUCAUUAAAAGAAUGUGAGAUAUAUAACAUUUUAAAAAUACUCAUGUAUCUAAUAUUGCAAACAUAAAUAAGCAAAAAAACAUUAAAUGUGGAGUUAUAAGGUUUCGAUUCUAAAUUAAAGAUGAUAAGUUUCUUCAGACUCUUUCAACGAAAGAGAUUAAAAGUUUAUUAUUAUUUAUUUAUUUAUUUUGCUUACAUGAUUUCUACGCUUCUUUCAACCAGCCAAAUGAACCAUUUUCAUUUUAAAAAUGGCAUGUUAUCUAAUUUAAUGAAAUUCCUUAACCGCCUUAUUAACUGAAUUUUAAUUAUUAAAUUUUAAAAAAUAGAAUGAGUAAUUUAAAAAAAAAGAAAAAGAAAAAGCACUAAAUUUCAAAAGUAUAAUUAAACUAAAAAGUGACACAAAAAAUCAUGUUCAAUCAUAGCUGCUGCUAUAAGGGAUUCGGAAGGUUUUGCAAUGGGUUCUUGUGUAGCUGCUAAGGUCAAAACCAGUCAUGAAGCAAAUGGGAAUUGCUCUCCCAAUGGGAAUUACAGAGGGGAUGUGCAUGCAAUGACCAUCAUCAGGAACCAUGUCGGUUGCUAUCAUAUGAUAAAACAUAAAGAUGAUGCUCAAUAUGUCAUAGGAAGAAAAUUUGACAAUUAUUGAAUCAUAAAUUACAGAACAAAAUUCAAUUACCAAUAGGAUCUAUACACAAUUUCCCUUCCUCUUCUCCAUGGUGAUUUACAAAAUCAAAAUAUCAAAUCAUUUAUAUUACGAUUCAUCAUCAUUUGCUCAAUCCCCUGAAAAUUCAAUCCUUUCACAUUGCCUUCCCUUCCAUCCCAGCAAUCAAAUAGAUUUUACCAGACCAAAAACCACAUCAUAUAUACACUACUACACACAAGUUAAUCUCUUUCUCCCCAAAAAUAAUCCAUAUUUCCCUAAUUCAUCCCUACUUUGUCCUCCCGGACGGUGGCCUUCUAUGUACACUGUAGAUUUAAGCCAUAGCAGGGAUUCUGGAAUUUUGGCUAUCCCUGUUAAGGCAAUCAAAUCCUUCUACUCUAAUUGCCGCUGGUUUUAGCCCAAACGACAUCCUAACAAAUCCCCCUUUAUGUGCCGAUGGCGACGGAGAUGGACUUUGCGAUGCUGAAAGGGCUGCAACUCUUUCGUCACCAAAUCGAGCAUCUUGCACAACUGGGUUCGUGGCCCUACUUGGGGGCGAACCACAAAAAAAUGGGGGUGAAGAUGCUACCUGUGCUGCAGAUUGCUCUGCCCAUAAAUCACCCUACAAAAACCGAAACAAAACAACACGAUAAAACAAGUCCAUCCUAGAAACAAAAACAUUAACACACAUAACUCAAACCUCAGAAAUGCAAACAUCCAAUAUUACUCCAAAUUGGAAGUAAAAAUAUAUCCGACUUUUAGAAGCAUUUUCAUAUAGUCGUUUAUUCGGAUAGAAGUGCAAGACGCAAAUACUUUUAAGAACCAUAGCAACUAUCAAAAAGCAAUAUGUAUAUAACAUUAGUAUUUUCACUUCUUUAAAAUACUUGAGAUUCAGUGAUUACCUUGUUGAGGAUGAUAUCUAGAAGUUCUGCACUGGCUUUCGAUUCACUUACAUCGGCUUGGUGACUGGAAUUGAAAACCAAAAAUCAAAAUUAAUAAAAGCAAGCAAAUCAAAUCAACCAAAAUUCCAAUUAGAGAAAAGGGGGAAAAACCCAAAGGAAAGAGAAAAGAAAAACAAUACCUCAUAUGCAAUCUAAAAGGCUUGAUAGGGUUAUUGGUGAGAACCCCAAUUCGCCGAGGCUUAGGGCAAACAACGGGGCCGGCCCUAUGAUGCUCCGAUAUUGAAGAGAUAAACCCUCCCAUCUCCUCAUAAGCGGAAACGGCAAUGGGAUUCUGCUGAAGAUUGUAGUGAUUCAUCUUCCUCAAAAAUCUAACAUUCAAAUAAUUAAUUACAAAAAAGAAGUCAACAACCAGAUCUAAGAAAAAUGAUUCAAUUAAGACAUAGAAACAGACAAUUUUUUUUCCCCUUUAGUUUCCUUCAUUUUCACAGAAUCCCCCCCAAAAAAAAGGUCAAACCCAAAAAGGAAAACAUAAAUAGAAACACAGAUCUAGGCCCAGACCUUAAAAAUCAGUGAUCACGGGUUGCUGUGGAGGUAAAACUGUAAUAAAUUUAGGAUUUAUAUGCCUGCGUAAAAAAUAUUAUAAUUUACAUUUAUAUAUAUCAGAUUCAGAGAGUUAAAAAGAAGAUCCGAAAUAUCAGGGAUUAAUUAAGACGUAACAAAUAAGGAUGAAAUACCCAGAAGGGAAAUUCAAGUGUUACAGCUAAAAACUCAUCAUAAAUAUUGAAUAGACACUUUGAAAUUUGACUUAAAAACAGAAUUGUUCUUAACAGCAAAAAAAUAGGAAGAAAAAGAAAAAGAAACAGAUCUAAAAAUAUAUUUUACAAAAUAUAUACAGAGAAGUGAAAUCUUAUAUAUGAUUAAAUAAGUUUAAAAAAGGGAAACUUGAUUUUUGAGAUUUACCUGAAGGAAUCCCUUUGAAAGAAGAAAAAGCAGAUAAAUGGUGAAUGAGACGAGGAAGGAAAAGGUCUUAAUGGAGGCCAGGAGGGAAAUUAUAUAGAAUGCCCAUUUUACCAUUGUAAAACAAUCUCCUCCACUUUUUUUUAAAUAUAAUUUCUUUUUGAAUCUUGGGAAAAUUAUUUUAACUUCGGUCAAUUAAAAUAUUAAUUUAUCAAUAAAUGCCAAAAAAAAUUACGUGAAUAGAUCAAUUUUUUUAAAAAAAUUAUGGGAAUAAGCUAUUUUUUGGAAAUCACUUCCAAUUUGCAGGAAAACUUGGAAGCGUUUUUAGCAUGUUGUAUUGAAAACGCUUUCAACUAGAAUCGCUUUUUGCUAAGUCACUUGAAAAUGCUUCCAACUGGAAGCGUUUUCAGCAUAUUGCAUGGAAAACGCUUCCAUCUAGAAUCGCUUUCUGCUAAGUCACUUGAAAAUGCUUCCAGUUGGAAGUGUUUUUCCCCCCAACGGUAAAAAAUAACAGUUAUUUAAUUAGUCGUUAGACACCCCCAAACAGUCAAAUUUUAUUUUCCUAUAACCCUCUCCCAUUUCAUUUUUUCCAAUUCAAUCUCAACUCUCUCUCACAUUCUCAAUACCCACUUAAAUUCACUAAUUUUUUUUGCUCUCUCAAUUUUAUUUCUUUUUUAUUUAAAUUAUCUUAACAUUUUCUUAAAUUAUUCUUCUAAUACGAAUUAUUCAGUUUUUUUCGAAAUUAUCAAUGGCAAAUUCUCUAAUUCGUUAUGAUAAGAACUAUAUUUUCGUCAAUCAAUUGCAAAUGAUAAUAAUAUUUCUUAUUAUAUUUUAAUGUUGCAUAAUUUUUAUAUUUUUUUAUAUUUGAAUUUAUUAUUUUGUAUAUUUUUUCCUUAAAUAGGCAGAGAUUGAAUUUUGCAAGCCAACAUUCGUAAUCUACUCGCUCCUCCAUCACCCUUGAUCAAACCGUACUUGAGAGAAGUCGAUUUUUCGCACGUGGCCCUUAUAGGUAAGGGGUGUAAGUUGGACCCAACACUCGUAAGCGCGUUAAUGGAAAGGUGGAGAUCGAAGACGCACAUUUUCCAUCUUCUAUCUGGCGAGUGUACUAUCACUUUGGAAGAUGUGCAAUUACAACUUAGGUUACUAGUGGAUGGGUCUGCAGUGACUGGGACUGUUCACGCAACCAAUUGGAAAAUGGUAUGCGAUGAACUUUUGGGGUUGGUUUCGGAGACAAUUUUUGGAGGUCGGAUAGAAAUGGCUUGGUUAAGAAGAAAUUUCAGUAAGCUUGAUGAGGAUUCAACUGAAGUCGAAAGAGAAGAACACAUUCAGGAUUACAUCCUUAUGUUAAUAGAGGGUAUCAUAAUGCCGGAUAAGUCACGAAAUUUCGUCCAUUUAAGGUGGUUGUUGAAACUCGUCAAUAUUCGUAAUCUACUCGCUCCAACUUAGUUGGGGGUCCACCGUGUUGGCGACCUUGUACCAAGAGAUGUGUCGAGCGACGCAACCACGAAAAAUUAAAAUUGGUGGUUGUAUGCUACUACUGCAGUCAUUGGCGCGUUAUCAGCUGCCAUUUUUGUCCUGAAGCAAACUACCUUUACAAAUUCAUUACAUAAUUUAUUUAUUGCAAUAAAAUAAUCUAAUGUUUAAAUUAUUCUGUUAACAAAUUAUUUCAAUAGGUGGAAUAAUGGGUCAAGUUACGUGAGAAUAUCGAAAGAGCUAUGAGAUAUACGACUUCUGUUAGACCAACGAUCUGAAGCAAAGGUAAGUAUUUUUUUAAAUUUGAAUUAUAUAAUAUUAAUGUAUUUGAUUUGAUAUUUAAUAGUAUAUAUAUAACUAAUUUUUUAUUAUUUUAAUAUAGUUUGAAUGGACACCAUACAAGGAUCUGACAAUUCGGCAAUGCAUCCCAUCCGAAAUCCUGGUGAAUCCCAAUAUUUGACAUGUAAAUGUGCCAUUGGUAAUGUACGCUAUCGUGUAUAUGCAUGAGUCGGAUAGGGUGUUGCAGCAAAUCGGGUUCAGACAAUCGAUUCUAGUGGUACCUUAGGACCUUGAUCAUCUGCAUCCUAUCAACUUGUGGGGGAGGUCGAAUGAGAAUUGAAUUAGAUUCCAUAUUAAUAUAUAUACACAUGUGGAAUAAUCGAUAUGAGUUUCUACCUCAUCGCAAUGCUAUUAUCGCUCUAGAGUUAGCUUGCGGUUUGGAUUACAUGCCUUGAUUUAGGCUUUUUGGCAAGCCAUGCUUGUUGAGCGAAGAAUAUAGGAGUUGGCAAACGCAUACGAGGAGGCCACGACGACCGUCAACACAUCCAAGGUUUGGCGAGGCAGGUCCAUCGGUUGCACCUACUCAAGAGCCGACAUCGGUGCCCACACCACCCCUGAUCAGUAUGUGACGUCCUAUUCUGAUUUGUAUGCGAACACCGUCAUUUUCACACAAGCACCAUAUAUUCGACCACAUUUUUCUGCUUUUACUUUGAUGUUAGGUUUUGUUUUCAAACCUUGGUCCCUAGUAUAUUACACGUCGAUGCCAUCCAUAAUUCUGGCGACGAUGAUGCCGAUGACGACGUAUAGGCCAUCCAUGUUUCGACCACCGACCAAGAGUCCAAUUGUUAUGUCACCAAUGUACGAAACACAAUAUAGUUAUACCCUUACACUGAUGGUGAUGCAAACACCUCCAGGAUCAUUGUUCUAUCAAGGCGAAUCAUCUUCCCAACCACCUACUGCUAGACCGGAGGAUGCACGAUGGCAACCAAGAAGCAACUAAUCGCAAUCAACUACGGAUGAAGGCGAAGAAGAGAAAAGGCCUAUACCACAACCUAUGUCAGAGGUUUAACCAGAGUUUGGAAAAUCGAUCGCAAUUGGGUUUGGAAAACGCAACGGAAAAUAAAUUUAGGAAAAAACCAGAGUUUUAAAAAAAUCCAAAAUAAGAAUUUGGUUGUGAUAUCUAAAGUAAUAAAUACUCAAUCAAAAUUGUACAAUUUUGAUUCCUCUAGGAUGAACGCUUCAACCUAGUAGUCUUCUCUAUUAUCCUUAAGCUCACGUUUACCGAGUGUGGGCUCGCUUCAAAUAAAAAAAUUAUAAAAAUUACUAGUGCAGUAAUUUCGUAAUUUCUCUGAACUUUUGGGGUAAGUUAUAAAUAAGAAAAAUAUCUCUAGAAAUUUUCUAAAAUAAUUUCUUUAGAGAAUUUUCUCUCUACAACUUUCUAUUGAAUUCAAGUGUGUGUAAAUAAUAACCCAAGACUAUAUUUAUAUAAGGAGGGUUUAGAGAGUUCAACUAUAAUUAUACUUAAUCACUUUAAUAUUAAUUUUAAUAUUAAAUCUUAUUAAAUUAAUAGAAUAUUUAUCUACAAGAUAAAUAUUAAAUUAAAUUUAAUAUUAAGAUAAUCACUUUGAUAUUAAAUUAAUAAAAUAUUAUUAAGAUAAGUAUCAAAUGAAAUUUAAUAUUAAAUCUAUUAAAAUAAUAUUAUUAUUUUAAAUAGUUAAUCAAAAAUCAAAUUCUUUGGUAGAGUCUCAAUAGGAGUGUAAUUCUUCCAUUGCUUAACCACUGAAGAACCACUGCCGCUAACCAUUUUUUGGCCAUCGAAAUGCUGUCGUCGUAACCGUCGGCACCUGAGCUGGUUUGGUUUCUAUCAGUUCCAUCCGGACCACUAACAGUCCGAUAGGUCCGAUCCAACCACCAGUUGGAUAUCAACUUAGUUUCACAUACCAGACCUGGUUAGACCAGUUUUUGGGUCUUAAUCUCGGUUUUGGGAUCCUAAGCCCAAUUUAUGAUCUCAGGUCUAAUUUUCAAAUUCAAUUACCCAUUGGGCCAAUUGUCUGACUUGAAAAAUUAAUUUUCAAAAAUAUCAUAUUAAUUUUAAUUAAUUUGAUUGAUUUAAUUUUACUUGUUCAAAAUUAAUUUUCCCAAAAAUCACUUAGAUUUUCCAAAUUAAUUUUUCAAGAAAAUUCUUUAAUCAAAUUCUCUAGUUGAACAAUUCUUACGACCGUCCAACUUAAUUCCACAUCGAAUAAAUUGACUCAGUUAAAUUAUUUCCAAAGUCGUAGAAUUUACUUCUAAUUCAAAUGGAGUCCGAUUAAGCCUUUGUUGAGCUAGCGGAGGCACCAAUCGGACAUAUACAAUUAUGUUCUAGUAAUUGCAAUUAUGUCCAGAAGCAUCGUUCCUAUAAUUCACAAUUACUUAAUAUGGAGUUAGGCCACAAAAAGUACCAUGAUUGAAAACUUCUUAUUGUAUACUCUUUACGAAAGUAAUUCAUCCAACUACUUUGUCCAAUGACCUCGUCAUGUGUGUGUUACCCUCAUAUGAUAUCCUUGAUUCCUUUGAGUUAAAUUCAUUCACUCAAUACAAUCCUAUUUUAUCCCAUUGUCGCCAUCUGUCUUCUUAAUGAUUAACAUGAUCAAUGUCAACAAAUGGAUGUGAUAAAUUACUCAUUCGAGAACAAGCAACCCGUGGCCACAUUCCGUAUUUAUCAAUCCACACAAUGCUAAUGAGAGGAUAUCAUUAAUUCUUUAAUUGAGCUAUGAAUUUCACUGUUUCUAGAAAAACCAUGCCAUACACAAGUCAUGUACCCAACAUAUCGGCUAUUGGUUCGAUCAUCUUUAGAGCAUAAGCCUCUACUUAUAUCAAAGCACAUGAGUUACAUAUGCAUGGUCAUUGACUAACUCAGGAUUUUGAUAAAUCAUAGCAUGAAUGUCACAAGUGAAUUAAUUCAAAAAUGAAUUCAGAAUUAAUUCAUCUUGGGUCUAGUUCAAUGUAUCAUUCUGCCAAUGAAUACAUUUAUGUGUCUACCUGUAGAGUCAACUACUCCGAUAGCCAAGACUAGUCAUCCCCUCAAUUGGAAUUAUAGACAACAUAAUAAUCAUUCUCAGUAUUUGAAUUAAAUAAUCACUUUGAUUCUUUUACGAAAUUACAAACUUGUUUAGAUUAUCUAGUGAAGUAAGUUGUCUUUCUCGUAAUGCAAAUGUUCUUACAAUGCCACUUAUCAUCAUUUUGAACUUAGACAAUCAAUGAGCUAAUUUUUGCUUGUUACAAAUUCGCUAUGCAUGCAAAAUAUGAAAGCCAGAAAUACAAAAUACAUAACAGUGAAAUGUGAAAUUUAUUUAUUCAUUGUUCAAAUUCAUAGAAAACAAUUACAUGUUUACUACAAUAUGUGCACAUUUCCUAACAAUCUCCCACUUGCUCUAGUGAAGUAAAUGUGUCAUAUUUCACAUUCCCAAAUCCUCAACUUGUUUGUUAAAACUCUUAGUUACAAGAGUCUUAGUAAACAGAUCUAAAAGGUUAUCUUCAUAAGCUACUUUCACCACAUCUAUAAUUCCUUCGACUGCUGCCUCUCAUAUCAAGUGAUACUUCUGAUAAAUGUGUUUAUUCCUCUUGUGACUUUUCAUUUCCUUAGUAUUAACUAUUGCAGCACAGUUAUCACAAUACAGUGUUAUAACUUUUUCCAUACCAUGAAUAACUUCAAGAUCGGUUAAGAACUUUCAAAGCCAUAUUGCUUCUUUGUUGCUUCAGAAGUAGCCACAUACUCGGCCUCCAUAGUAGAGUCAGUAGCGCAAGUUUGUAUUACACUUCUCCAUACUAUGGCUCUACGGCCUAAGAUGAAUAUAUUUUUUGAUGUUGAUUUCCUCGCAUCUUUAUAGGUUUGGAAGUCUAAGUUUGUGUAUCUGAUAGGAGUAAAGUUCUCCCUAGAAUAUAUAAACAUAUAGUCUUUGGUUCUUUUAAGAUACCUUAAUAUAUGCUUUCAGCUUGCCAAUGUUUGAAACCAGGAUUCGUCUGAUAUCGAGUAACCAUUCCCACUGUAAAACAAAUAUCUGGAUGUGUGGAAAGCAUCGCACACAUAAGGUUUCCAACUAUCGAAGUAUAUGGAACCCUACUCAUAUGGUCUCUUUCUUCUGUUACCUUAGGACAGUUAUAUAAAGAAAAAUGAAAACCUAAUGAGGUCGGCUGAGUGCCUAACUUCACAUCAAUCAUUGCAAAAUGUUUCAGUACCUUAUAGAUGUAUGAAGCUUGUGAUAGAGUUAUCGUUUUAUUCUUUCAAUCCCUAAGGAUUCGAAUUCGAAGAACAUAACUAGCUUCACCCAUGUCCUUCAUGUUAAUUGUUGAGCUAACCACAAUUUAACUGAUGACAAUUUUCUUACAUUAUUUCAUACAUUAAUAUAAACUUAACAAAAAUUAUUCAUUCACAUACACAUCAUCCCUAAAUUGAUCCUCCAAGGCCAUAAAAAUACAUUAAAAAAAUUCGAGACUAAAUUGGAAACAUUUCGAAAGUUCAAGAAAAAGUUAGAAAAAUUUAACUGUAGGGGUUACAUGGCUGUGUGCCUUACACGGCUGUGACACACGCCCGUGUCUCAGGCCAUGUAAUAAUCAAAAUAGGGACACACUGUUGUGUCUCAACCUUUGUCCUUACCCGUAUAACUCUCUAAGUAGGGUUACACGGCCAAAUCACACAACCAAGUCACAUGCUUGUGUGCUAUGUUGUGUAACUCUCAAAAUAGCCCCACAAGCCCGUGUGUCAAGCCGUGUGUUAGGCCGAGUAACUUUCUGACUUAUAUGCAAUUGAACCUAAAUGGGACACAUAGCCAUGUCGCCAGGCCGUGUGUCAAACACGGUUGAGUCACACGCUCGUGUCUCAAGCCAUAUGGACAUGAAUUUGCCAAAAAAUAAGCCAUUUCCAUCACCAUAUCAAGCAUAUACCUAAAAACAUUUUGUGCACAUAAUCAAGACAUCAAAACCUUACCAAAACAUGCAUAUAGUAACCAAAAACUUAGUAGAGUCAAAAGGUAUUUUCUUAUAUGACACUAAAGUUGUGCAUAUAUAUGAGUGCGUUGACCCAGGGUCAAUCAAAGCAUUAACAUUAGUAUCAAAAAUAAAAAAUGUACCAGUGAUAACAUCUGGAGCUGAAGCUUCCUCUCGAGCACAGAUCGCAUAAGCUUUAGUCGGCACUGGUGCCUCAAAUCUCACAGUAGAGCCUUUCAUUCCACUACGACUAUUACCCCCUCUCGAGCACGGAUCGCAUGAGCUUUAGUCAACACUGGUGCCUCAGAUCUCACAGCAGAGUCUUUCGUUCCACUACGACUAUUACCCGCAUUACCAGUGUUCCGGGCUGGUCUCCUUCUCGAAGCUGUAUUACUCAGUCGAGUAGUCUGAGCCUUUUCUUUGUCGGGCCUUUCAAGGCAAUCCUUGAGAUAUUUUUAUAUGAACCACAUUUAAAACAUUACCCGUCUUUCAAUCUGCAUUCACCAAAGUUUCGUUUAUUACAUUACUGAUAUUCGGGCUUGUUGUUUCUGAUAUUGCCCACACUUGUUGUAGACGUAGCCUGAGGUUUUGAGCUCGAAUGCUAAUUUCCUCAAUCUUUCUCAGAAUAAUCCACUGAAGCUGACGAACGACCAUGACAUUCUUUCAACUUCUUCGAUGGCGAUGAGUAUGACUUUUCCAUAGGGCUCUUUCCCGAGUCAUGAGCCUCAUCGGCUUUUCUUUUUGCUUUGCUAAGUUCUUCAGCUUUAUGCACUUUACCAACCAGAACUACAAAUUCUUUCAUCUCAAGGAUCCCGAAUAACACCUUGAUAUCUUUGUUUAACUCGUCUUCAAACCUUGUGCACAUAGCAAACCUUGUAGGUAUACAUUCUUUGGCAUACUUACUGAGUCGAACAAAUUCCCUUUCAUACUCUAAUACAGGCAUACGACCUUGUUUCAACUCAAGGAAUUCUUUACGUUUCUUGUCUAAAAAUAUCUCGCUCACAUAUUUCUUUCGAAAUUCAGUCUAAAAGAAUUCCCAGUUUACUUGAUCUCUCGGCACAACUGCAACUAAGGUGUUCCACCACUGAUAAGCCGAAUCUUUCAAUAAUGAAACAACACAUUUCAAGUAUUUCGUAGGAGUACAUGAUAAUUCAUCGAAAACUUUCACCGUGUUUUCUAACAAAACUCGGCUCUCUUUGGAUCAUCUUCAGCUGUUCCUCGGAACUCUUAAGCCUCAUACUUACGAAUUUUAUCAACUAGAGGUUUGCUCGUCCGAACUAGUUCCAAACCCUGAGGAACUACGAGGAUCGAUUGGGGUACAGGUGGGGGUGGAGGUCGUUAAGCCAUUGGUUUCAUUCGAAUAAACUCGAAGAACCAUUCAUACAUCAUCUGGAGGAGAUCGAUACCGUCGUAACAUCGAAACAUGGAAUACAUUGUGAAUAUUUUCUAACUUUAACGGCAAAGAUAAUCUAUAAGCUAUUGGUCCAAUUUUUUCUAUGAUCCCAUACGGCCCAAUAAAUCGUGGACUAAGCUUUCCUUUUCGACUGAAUUGAAGAACUUUCUUCCAAGGCGAUACUUUUAGAAAUAAUCUGUCGCUUACUUGAAAUUCAAUGUCUUUUCUUUUCAAAUCUGCGUAAGAUUUUUGUCGAUCCGAAACUGCUUUCAGGCUAUCACGUAUCACUUUAACCUUUUCUUGAGUUUGUCAAAUUAAAUCAACAUUGAAUAACUUUUCCUCACUCAGAUCAGUCCAGUAUAAAGGAGUUCGACACUUCCAACCAUACAAAGCUUCGUAUGGUGCCAUUUUAAUACUCACUUGAUAACUAUUGUUGUAUGCAAAUUCAACCAACGACAGAAAUCUCUCCCAGUUACCUUCGAACUAUAAAACACAACAUCGUAGCAUAUCUUUGAGUAUCUGAAUCACUCACUCAGAUUGACCAUUUGUUUAGGGAUGAAAUGUUGUACUAAAAUACAGUUAAGUACUAAGAGCUUCGUGUAACUUGCUCCAAAAUCGAGACGUAAACCGCAAAUCUCUUUCAGAAAUAAUAGAAUCUGGCACACCGUGCAAUCUAACAAUCUCAGUAACAUAUAACUUUGCCAAUCUCUCGAGUGAAAAAUCCAUACGCACAGGAAUGAAAUGCGUGGACUUCGUCAAACGAUCAAUAGUGACCCAUACAACAUAUUUUUUUCUCGGAGAUAGAGACAAACCCGAUACGAAAUCCAUCGUGACACAUUCCCAUUUCCACUUUGGAAUCAUCACAGGUUGUAACAAACUAGAAGGUACCUGAUGUUUAGUUUUAACUUGCUAACAAACCAAGCAUUUCGGUACGAACUCUAAAAUGUCUUGUUUCAUACCUGACCACCAAUAUAUGUGUUUCAAAUUGCCAUACAUUUUAUUGCUACCAAGAUGAAUAGACAAGCUAUUACUGUGAGCUUCCUGUAAAAUUUUCUGAAUAAGAUCAAAAUUUCUCGAAACACAAAUUCUUCCUUUGAAGUACAAACUGUCAUCGGAACCAACAUGAAAAUUUGAUGCAGGUGUCAUCUCAAUCUAUUUCUGUUUAGUGAUCAAAACAUCGUCACAUUUCUGAGCUUCGCAAAUCUGUUGCAGAAACGUCAGUCUAACUUUUAAUUCUGCCAAAAUUGAUUCGUCAUCAAUCAACGUCAAUCGUGUGUUCAAUGCUCGUAAGGCAAACAUGAACUUUCUACUCAAUGCAUCAGCAACAACAUUAGCCUUUCCAAUGAUCAAGUCGUAAUCUUUCAAUAAAUCGAGCCAUCUGUGUUGUCUUAAAUUCAAAUCCUUUUGUGACAUCAAAUACUUUAGGCUUUUAUGGUCCGUGAAAAUAUGACAUUUUUCUUCGUACAAAUGGUGUUGCCAAAUCUUCAAAGCAAACACAAUGGCUACAAGCUCUAAAUCGUGAGUCGAAUAAUUCUUUUCGUGCAGUUUCAACUGUCUAGAAGCAUACACUAUUACUUUGUCUUCUUGUAUCAAAACAUAACUUAAUCCAUUCAAUGAAGCAGCGCUAUAAAUCACAAAUUCUUUACCGGACUCUGGCUGAACGAACAUAGGUGCCUCGGUUAAUAAAGUUUUCAACUGAUUAAAACUGUGCUGACAUUUCUCGAUCCAUUCGAAUUUAACAUCUUUUUACAAAAAUCUCGUCAACGGCAUAGCAAUCAUCGAGAAUCUCAUGACGAACCUUCUAUAAUAUCUGGCUAAACCCAGAAAACUUCUGACUUCAGAUACAUUUCUCAGAGGUUUCCAGUCUACCACAGCUGAAAUUUUACUUGGAUCAACUCUAAUACCAUCUGCUGAUACCACAAGUCCCAAAAAUCCUACUUCUCGGAGCCCGAACUCACAUUUGUUGAACUUAGCGAGCAGUUGUUUUUUCGCGUAAGGUUUGUAAAAUAGUUCUCAAAUGUUGGGCAUGUUCUAUCACAUCUCGUGAAUAAAUCAGGAUGUCAUCAAUAAACACAACAACAAAUCUAUCUAAAUAUGGUCUGAAUAUUCUAUUCAUCAAGUCCAUAAACACAGUAGGUACAUUAAUCAAACCAAAUGGCAUCAUAAGAAACUCAUAAUGUCCGUACUUAGUUCUGAACGUUGUUGUCGACAUAUCAGACUCUUUAACCCAUAACUGAUAAUAACCAGGAUGAAGAUCGAUCUUUGUUAAUACCGUCACACCUUUCAAUUGAUCAAACAAAUCAUCAAUAUGUGGUAAUGGAUACUUGUUCUUGAUCAUGACUUUGUUGAGCUGUCGAUGAUCAAUACAUAGUUGCAUGGAUCUGUCCUUUUUCUUGACAAAUAACACAGGACGUCCCCAAGGAGAAAAACUGGGCUGAGCAAAGCCCCUAUCUGAUAACUCUUGCAACUGAGCUUUCAAAUCUUUUAAUUUUAUAGGUGUCAUUCUAUAUGGAGCUAUCGAGAUCAGAGAUAUUCCAGACAUUAAUUCAAUAGCAAACUCAACUUUUUUGGUCGAUGGUAACCCUGGUAAUUCUUUUGGAAACACGUCUGCAUACUGACAUACAACUGGAACUGAUUCUAACUUAAAUUUUAAAACUCCAGAAUCAUAUAUAUAAGCGAGAUACGUUUCAAAGCCUUUUCUAACAUGUUUUUGUGCCGACAUAACCAAAAUAACAUCAAAUGCACUAUAUAAUAUGUCUGAUUCAAUUCGAAGCUUUUCACCAUUCUGACAUUUUAACAUAAUAUACUUUCGUCUAUAGUUCAAAACAACAUCAAGCAGAGUUAACCAGUCCAUACCCAGAAUCACAUCAAACUCAUCAAAGCGUAGUAACAUCAAGUUAGCCGGAAAGUUGCAACCCCGAAUAAUCAAAUGGCAAUUUUUAAAGACUUUAUCAGCUAACACAAACUGACCUAAAGGGUUCAUUACUUUAACCAAAAACUCAGUAGAAGGUAUUUUCUUAUUUGACAUUAAGGUUGUGCAUACAUAUUAGUGCGUUGACCCAGGUUCAAUCAAAGCAUUAACAAUAGUAUCAAAGAUAGAAAAUGUACUAGCGAUAACAUCUGGUGCUGAAGCUUCCUGUCGAGCAUGGAUUGCAUAAGCUCUAGUCAGCGUUGGUGCCUCAAAUCUCAUAGUAGAAUCUUUCGUCCCACUACGACUAUUACCCGUAUUACCAGUGUUCCAGGGUGGUGCUCGUCCUCUCGCAGUUGUAUUACUCGGUUGAGUAGUCUUAGCCUUUUUUUGUCGGACUUUUCAAGGCAAUCUCUAAGAUAAUUUUCAUACGAACCACAUUUAAAACAUGAAUCAUCUUUCAAUCUACAUUCAUCGAAGUUUUGUCUAUUACAUUGCUGAUAUUUGGGCUUGUUGUUUCUGACAUUGCCUACACUUGCUGCAAACGUAGCCUGAGGUUUCGAGCUCGAAUGCUAAUUUCCUCAAUCUUUCCCAGAAUUAACCACUGAAGCUAACGAACGACCAUGAUAUUCUUUCGACUUCUUUGAUGGUGAUGAGUAUGACUUUUCUAUAGGCUUCUUUCUGGAGUCAUGAGCCUCAUUGACUUUUCUUUUCACUUUGCUAAGUUGUUCAGCUUUAUGCGCUUUUUCAACCAGAACUACAAAUUCUUUCAACUCAAGGAUCCCUACUAAUAGCUUGAUAUCUUCGUUUAACUAGUCUUCAAACCUUGUGCACAUAGCAACCUCUAUAAGUAUAUAUUCUCGGGCAUACUUACUGAGUCGAUCAAAUUCCCUCUCAUACUCUACUACAGAUAUACAACCUUGUUUCAAUUCAAGGAAUUCUUUACGUUUCUUGUCUAAAAACAUCUCGCUCACAUAUUUCUUUCAGAAUUUAGUCUAAAAGAAUUAUCAGUUUACUUGAUCUCUCGGCACAAAUACAACUAAGCCGUUCCACCACUAAUAAGCUGAGUCUUUCAAUAAUGAAACAACACAUUUCAAGUAUUUCGUAGGAGUACAUGAUAAUUCAUCGAAAACUUUACCGUGUUUUCUAACAAAACUCGGCUCUCUUUGGAUCAUCUUCAACUGUUCCUCGGAACUCUUAAUCCCCAUACUUAUGAAUUUUAUCAACUGGAGGCUUGCUCGCCCGAACUAGUUCCAACCCUGAGGAACUAUGGGGAUCAGUUGGGGUACAGGUGGGGGUGGAGGUCAUUGAGGCAUUGGGUUCGGUCGCACAAUCUUGGAGAACCAUUCAGACAUAAUCUUGAGGAAGGCUUCCUUAGCCUUUCCUCCCCAACCCUCAGAUACGGGCCUAUUACCACUAGACGCUGCUCCGUGAACGAAGGCUUGCGCGUUACUUUCUACGUCAUCGGAAUCAGUUUAAUUUGAUGACAUUUUAUCUAUUUGAAAACAUAGUCUGAGAACCGACUAAACCGUAGCUCUAAUAAUACUAAAUGUAACACCCCAAACCCGUAUCCAUCGUCGGAUUAGGGCUACGAAGCAUUACUGUACAAAUAGAACAUUACAACAUACAUUUCAUACAUUAAUAUAAAUUUAACAAAAAUUAUUCAUUCACAUACACAUCAUCUCUAAAUCGUGCUGCCAAGGCCCUAAAAAUACAUUAAAAAAUUUGGGACUAAAUUUGAAGCAUUUGGAAAGUUCAAGAAAAAGUUAGAACAAUUUGACUGUAGGGGUCACACGACCAUAUGCCUCAUACGACUGAGACAUACGCCCGUGUCUCAAGCUGUGUAGCAAUUGAAAUAAGGACACACAGCCGUGUCCUUACCCAUGUAACUUUCUGAGUAGGGUCACAUGGCUGAGACACAGACCUGUGUGCCAGGCCAUGUGCUAGGCCGUCUAACUCCCUGACUUGUAUGCAAUAGAACCUAAAUGGGACACACGGCCAUGUUGCCAGGCCGUGUGUCACACAUGGCUGAGUCACAUGCCUGUGUCUCAGGCCGUAUAGACAUGAAUUUUCCCACAAACAAGCCAUUUCCAUCACCAAAUCAAGGAAACACAUAAUCAAGACAUCAAAGCCUUACCAAAACAUGCAUAUUCAAUAGCUUUAAACCAUUAAACCAAUAUGCCAUUUCAAGGCACCUCACAAGCAAACACUAAACUUACACAUUUGAUCACAUUUCCACAAUCAAACAUAAUUCAUCUUCCUACAAAUCAUACCAUAAUUAUGACCAUUAGCAUUUCAACAUAAACUUACCGUUUGAGCCAUGCCCUUGAUGCAUCAUAUGUACAAAAGUGACACAAUCCAACCAACAUCAAAUGGUACCAACACAACUUAUACAUGCCAAAAUCAUCAACUCACAUUCAACUAGAUACCAAUACAAGUCCACCUAUACAUGCGAUUAUAACCUUGGCCAAAAUAUAAAAAACUACCGAUAUUUAUGCUUAGUAUGAUUGAUCUCCGACGAGCUUCUAAACCGAUCGAGCUUCCGAUUAUCUAUAAAACAUGGGAAAGAAAACUAUAUAAGCACAUAAUGCUUAGUAAGUUCGUAAAACAUGAAACAUAACUUACCAUUUCCUUAUAUAACAUUAAGUACAAGUAUAAUGUAAUCAAACACAAGCUUGGCACAAUCCUAAUCACCAUCAUCAAUACACAAGUUAGUGCAUAUAUACAUAAUUCAAUUGAAUUUAACAUAUGGUAAUCCAUUUCCAUGGAAAUAUACAUCAUUUGAUUCAUUCUUCAUUUUCAUGAACAUAAGCAUACUUCUAUUUGGAAACUUACCAUUUCAAUCCUUUUCUUAAAUACAUGAUAUAGUUCAUUUUGAACACUUACCGUUCCUUUCCUUUUCAUGCCCGUUGAACCAUUUAGAAUAUCAUCAGAUACACGAGAAAGCUCACACGAAUUGUGCUUAAACAUAUAAUCGUAACCUUUCCUUUACAUUGUUGCUCACACGAGCUGGGAAAUAGGCCUGCUUAUACGAGUUGUGAAAUGGGAUUGCUCACACGAGCUGUGGGUCAAAAUGUAUGCUAGACGAUGUUGCUCACACAAGCUGUGGAGUAUCUAAAACAAAUGCAGGACCUCAGUAUUGGUAUGACAUUCAAGACUAGCACCUAAUCAUGAAAAUCCUAAUGUCAUGUCAUUUGUAUCCUAUGAAUUAUUAAAGUUCAACUGGGACUCGAUAACCGUCGUGGCAUGAUUUUGGAUAUACAUUGUUCAAUAGCAUUUUUAAUACAUAAUAACAUAUAAUUAGAAAUCAUGAACAUAAUAAUCCGUACAUACAAAUGCUAGACGAGUAAGGCGUAAAAACGGGAUCUACUAAUCCAAGGCUUUAGCUUUUCCCCGAUCUCGAUCCGUUCGUGGCCUAUCUUGAUCUAAAUAGAAAAUAUAAUUCAUUAAAUUUCCCUAGCAUUCAAUUUAGUCCAUAUUUCAUAUUUAUACAAAAUUACUAUUUUUCCCUUAACAUUUUAACUUUUUGCAAUUUAGUCCUUAAGCUGAUAAAUUAAAAUCUAAGCUUUUUCAUCCUUUUCUCAAGUUAGCCGGUUUCUUUAGGGACCUAUAUAAACUCAUACAAACCAUCAUUUCAUAGGUUUAACUUGAAAUUUUAUCUUUUUUACAAAUAAGUCCCUAAUUACAAUUUUCAUAAAAAAUCACCUUAUAAAACUUGUUUAUUUAUGAACAAGAACUCAUAAUCUACCAUUAAACAUAAAGAAUAAUGAAAGAACAUUCAUGGAAAAACCCUAAAUCUUUAACAAUUUUACAAAUUGAUCCUCGGGAUAGCUAAGUUAAGCUACAAAGAUCUCAAAAACAUAAAAAUCUUUAAAAACGAGCUAAAAAUCACUUAAAUGCAGUACUUGAACAUAGCCAAACCUUCAAGAUGAAAAAUGGAUGUUUUCCUUCUUUAAUUUCGAUGGAAACAUGAACUAAAGAAGAUGAUACUUUUAUUUUAUGUUAUUUUUCUUUACUUAAUUAUUAAAUUACCUUAACAACCUUGUUAAUUAACUAAAUAAAACACCUAAUUCAUGCCCAUCCUUUUUCACUAACAUUAUGAAUGGUCUAAUUACCAUUUCAGUCCACUCACAUUUAAGCUUUGUAGCCAUUUGACCCUUUUUACUAAUAGAACUCUAUUUUUUCACCUUUUAUGAUUUAGUCCUUUUCACUUAAUUAAGCAUGCAAACAUUGAAAUUUAUUGACAAAAAUUUUAUACGACCUUACUAACAUUCCAUAAACAUUAAAAAUAAUUGUAAAAUAAUAAUUUACUUGUCGAACUUGUGGUCUCAAAACCACUGUUCUGAUUUCACUAAGAACGGGUUGUUACAAAGAUAGUCAUUAAUAAAUGUUGUCUUGAUAUCCAUUUGCUAGAUCUCGUAAUCAAAAGCAGCGACAAUGGAUAAGAGUAUGCGAAUAGAAUUGAAAAUGGCUACCGGAGAGAAUGUCUCAUCGUAAUCGAUGCCUUCUUGCUAUGUGUAGUAUUUCCCUACAAGUCUAGCUUUAUGUGUUUCCACUUCCCCUUCCGCAUUUCUCUUCUUCUUGUAGAUUUGCUUACACCCUAUAAGUUUUAAUCCCAACCAGUAAGUCUACAAGUUCCCACACCAUAUUGGAUUUCAUAGAAUCCAUCUCGACAUCCAUGGUUGUUUCUAGAUAUUUGAAUCAAGGUUCUGCAUAGCCUCAUCGUAAGUGAGUAGAUCAUUAUCCUCAUGAUUGACUUCUAUAUUAUAAAUACUACAAUCAUAGAUGAAGAAGUCUAAUUUCUUAAAAAUUCUCCAACUACGACGGAUUCCCCUAUGUUGUUGAUUGUUUGCAGGUCGUUCUACAACUAUCUCGAGAAUUAAACUUUGUUAUUGUUCUACAACUCCCUAAAGUUCCUCGAGUACCACUUUACUUCGAGCCUUAGAGUUAUCCAUGUAGCUUUCCUCGAGGAAAAUAGCAUGAGUAGAAACUUUGAUCGAAUUAUCAUUUAGAUUGUAUAAUAAUUCACCCUUUGCUCAUUCUGGAUAUCUUAUAAACAUGCACAAUUCUUUCUGUACAUCCAACUUCUCUGCAUCCUUAUCCAAAACGUGUGCUGGACAAUCCUAUAUUCUAAAGUGAUUUAGAAUUGAUUUCUUUUCAUGCCACAGUUUAUAAGGUGUCUUACAAGCAGACUUGGUUGGCACAUCAUUCAGAAUAUAGCAAAUUAUUUGUAUCGCAUAUCCUUAGAAGGGAGUAAGGAGUUUUGAAUAGCUUAACAUUGAAUGAACCAUGUUAAGCAAUGUUCUAUUCCUUCUCUCAGCUACGCCAUUAUCCUGUGGAGUGCUCGGCGUAGUCAACUGGGAUUAAAUCUCAUUCUCUAUGAGGUAUCCUAAGAACUCGUCAGACAAGUAUUCCCCACCUCGGUCAGAUUUAAGAUUCUUUAUGGAUAAACCUAAUUGCUUUUCCACUUUUGCACGAAACUCUCGAAAUUUAUCAAAUGCUUCACUUUUGUGGUUCAUUAGAUACAUUUAUCCAUAUUGAGAAUAGUCUUAAAUGAAAGUCAAGUAAUAAUCAUAACUUCCUCAGGCACUGAUGCUCAUGGGACCACAUACAUUAGUGUGCACAAGUUCUAAAGGUUGGUUGGCCCUUGUACCUUUCGCAUUAGAAAACUACUUAGUCAUUUUACCUUCCAAGCAAGAUUCACAUUGUGGAAGACUAACUUCCUUAAGCAUACUUAAGGGACCAUCUUUCAUGAUUCUAGUGAUUCUUUCUUGGUUAAUAUGACCGAAUCUUAAGUGACAUAGGUAUCCCUCAUUAGAGUGAGGCGUUUUAAGUUUUUAUUUUCCAUCCAUCCAUUACAAAUUAAAGAACAAUUUUUGUGAAUAAUAAUCCCUUUAUUAAAUGUCACUGUAUAACUGUCGUAAAAUAAACAUGCUACAAAUAAUAAAUUCCUCUUAAAAUAAGAUACAUAAAAUAUGUUUUUUAAAAUAAUCUUCCUAAAAUUAUCAAAAUGUAAAAUAACUUCUCUCACUACUUCGACUGAAACAUAGCUCCCAUCUCCAAUCUGCAAUGAGAGGCUCUUGUCACGUAAACAUCUCAUUCCACUGAACUCCCGUAAAGAAACAUAUACAUGGUUAAUGGCUCUAGAAUCAAUAAAUCAGUUGUCUAUUGAUUCUUCCCUUAAGCAAGUUUCAACCAUAAAGAGUUCCAUACAUUUGCCAUUUUCGGCUGGGUAAAUCAAAUACUCUUUACAGUUUGCUUUGAAAUGCCCUGUAACACCCAUAUCCCGUCUCUGUUGCCGGAUUAUGGAUUGAAGUGUUAUAGAACCAAACCAAAACAAUUUAUCUUAAUUCCAUAACAAGUAUUCAAUUAAUUUAAAAACACAUAUCAUAUUAUAUCAUAUCAAUACAUAUCAUAUCAUAUCAUACCAUAUCAUAUAAUAAAUAUGCACAUGAGCCUUUUUUCGGGUUUGCAAGGCCUUAAAAUUAGAUUAAAAAUAAUCAUGGAUCAAAUUGAGACAAAUUAUAAAUUUUUGAGAUAAACAUGAAAAUUUGAUAUGCAGGGGUCACACGGCCAUGUGUCCAGACUAUGUGACAUAGCCCAAACCGUGUGGGAAUUCGAGGUUGGGACACACGGCCGUGUCCCAGCCUGUGUCUCUAUCUGUGUAACUCACUGACUUUGAUCACACGGUCAUGUCAUAGAUUGUGUGUCAGGCCAUGUAACUCUCUAACUAAAUACACACGGCCGUGUGCUAGAUCGUGUAUGGCACACGGCCGUGUGGCAGCUCGUGUGCACCAAAAUGAACAUUAAAGAUCAAGUUUACCAAAUCAUGCUUACUUGAACACUAAACAAUCCAAUUACUAGCCAUAACCUAUUCAAAACACAAUUAAACAUGCUCAAAACAUGCCAAAACAAUCAUCUUAAGUGCCUAACCAAUGUACCCUCUUUAGUACCACAUUUUAUAUUUUGUAAUAUAUUAAUAAAACAUUAAACUAAAAUAUAUACCAAAACAUUUAGAUAGGCUAACCUACCAAAACAUAGUCUCAAAAAUAAUGAAAAAACCUCCCUAUAUAUGUCAUUACAAAAUAAAGCAUCACACCAGAACUCUAAACCACAUCAUUCAACAAUUACAGAUCAAGGUAUUCAUCUAUGCAUUACAUAUAUAUACACUUGUUCCAUCAUUACAAAAUGCACUCUAGUAAAACGCAGAUCUCACUCAUUAACUAAAUCUAUCAACAUUCUCAAAACUCAUAUAUUCAUCAAUAUAUACAUGCCACUACCCAAUUAAGAUGCAAAAGUACCGACUUAGAUUUAUAGUGUGAGCUGGUUGAUUGAUCAUUCCAAAAAGUCAGCAACGAUUAUCUACAACACUUUCGAUUUAAUCACAGGGAUCUAUUCUGUAAUUUUCCCUUUUCCUCGAUUUAAGUCUUUCUGUCCCGGUUCUUGAUAUGCAAGCAAUGGAAAUGGCCAAACCUAGCUUUAAAAGAAAUGGCUUUCUUCUCUUCUCAAAUUCAGCUAAGGAUGGUGGAAGAUGACAAUGUUUCUUUUCUUAUUAUUUUACUUUAGUUUUGUUUUAUUAUAUUACCAUUUUACCCUUAGAAUUAAGCUUAUAAUUUAACAGCUAAAAAGGCCCUUAACUGUCUAUCCAAAAUCACAUGGACUAAUUACUUUAUAAGUCCUCUUUUAUUUGAUAGUUAAGCUAUCAAAUCAUUAUAAUUCAAUUAUGUCUAGAUUUUGAACAUUUUACAACUUAGUCAUUUUUCUUAAUUUAACUAAGUACAAAUUAAAAUUCUUUCACUGAAACUUAAUACGACCCUAAUGUAACUCCACAAACAUUGAAUAAACCAUAAAACACAACUUCAUAUAUUGAUAUUUGUGGUCCCGAAACCACUAUUCCAUUACCACUAAACAACGGGAUAUUACAUGCCCUUUUCUAUUGCAGAAGAAACAUUUGAUCUUUUUAGGAUAUUUUGACUUCUUAGCCUUCUUCCUAUCCAUACGAGGCGGAAUCGAAGACUUAGUAGGUUUAUUCUUUCUUUUAGCUUUUUGCUUUCAUUUAGAGGAUGAAAGACCCACUGCUAAGUUUGCCUCAGGUUUCUCCUGAACCGACUUUCCACCAUUCAACAUCAACUAAUAGGAUGGUAAUUCCUUCAUGAGCUGAGUCAAGGUAAGCGCCGUGUUCCUUAAGUUAUAAGCAACCUUAAAACCAGCAAACUCCUUAGUUAAGGAUUUGAACACUAUUUCAAUCUGAGUGUUCACGUCUAGUUCAACCCCAUUGUCUUCCGCUUCCGCAAAGAUUCCCAUAAGCUUAAGCAUAUGUUUUUUGACUGGAGUGCUGGAUUUUUGUUGAGAGUUCAUCAUAUUUGUAAUAGCGGAUUCUCGAGCCAAUGCGACUUGGCCUCGGAGCAAAUCCUCUAAUUUUUCAUAAUCUUUUUAGUAGUACGAAAAUUCUCAUGUUGCUUUUGUAACACACUACUCAUGCUUGUUAACAUAUAACAUCGAGCAAACGAGUCAGAAUCUCUCCAACAAUUUCUCGCUUUGGGCUAAGCUUUAAAAGGGUAUAUUUCGUCAAGAACGAAUUUGUGUUUUUCACAGCUAAGAACUAUUAGCAAGUUUCGUUUCUAUUCUCGAAAGUUAUCCCUAUCCAAUUUAUUUUUAGUAAGAAUGCUAAUAAGAGGAGUAAGAGACAUAUUUGAACUGAAAAAUAAAGAUUCACUAAUUACUAUCUUUGUAUUAAGCAAAUAUUUUCAUUUCAGAAACAUAUCAAGAAUGCAAUAUGAUGCAUGCGUCUUGUAUUAAAACCUUGAAAAACCAUUUUUCUGUUGCUACGAUCAUUCUCAUACCCAUCAACCAUGUCAUCUUGGGGUCCCAUGAUUAACUAGAAAGAAUACGAAUUACAUCCAUUUAGUUCGUGAAUCUUAAUUCUCAAGACUCUACACGAACCAAUGACCAUUUUGUUGGAUCGCCAGCACCCCUACGGCGCAGCGGAAAAAAAAAUCGGCGACCUUAACCAUGGAUCCAUGUGUGAAGAACGAAUCGGGGUGAAAAGAUUACGAAAUUACCUAAUAUUUCGAUUGAGAAGACAGUAACUUCUCGACAAUGUGUAGUCUGAUCUACAGUCAAACCAAGUCGCAAUCUAUCGAGACUCCGACCUCUACGUAAUCCACCCAGUUGACUACGAACGAAAGAAAAUCCCCAAAACAGUUUUGAGAGUUGUAUUUCUUUGACGGCUGCUGGACCUUAAAAAUAAUGAAAAACGGGAUUCUAAUAUAUCCCUUUUAUUUUUAGGGUUUUUUAGGAAUUAAAUAAAUAAAAUAAUAUUUUAAACCAAAAAUUAUAAUUACAUUAAUUAUAAUAUAAUUUCGAUAAACCAUAUAUUUAUUUAAAUUCAUAUGCUAAUCACAUUCAUGUCCUCAUUAUGCGUACAACAACCUUGUACAUAAUGUGUUGGAAAUUUGAUUACUGAAUUAAAUUAAUUCUAUAAUUAAUUUAAUUCAAGUGACACCCAAAAAUAAAACCAACUAUGGUUUAUUCCGUUCAUUUCAACUAUAGGGUGUGACCCUGUAGGUUCCUGUAACGUUAGCAGUAAUACUAGAACGAUUCCAAUGUUACAAACAAUGAGUGGCAUCUAGCAAUGCAUCAUUGCUACCUAAGUCACAAGAGAUCAUGAUUCGACAUAACCUUUUAUGAUUAACCUUUUAUGCAAUAAUCCUUAAGUCCUUUAUCUCUGGAUUGGAAACAAGUCAUGGAAUAGUCACACUUGUAUAGUCCAUUCCAUGUUCCUUGAUAUCUUAAGCAGGCUACGAUAUACAAAUAAGUAUGACAUCUCAUAUUAACUUAUUUGAGCAUGGCCAUGCAUUUCUAGUCUCACUUAAUCAAGUGGCCUAAGAUAUUACUCCCAUUAUGUAGGAGGGACUUAUUCUAUAUCGACCAACCAUAUCCCUCUACAUCGAUUGUGAUAUAUCCAACAUCAGCCUUUAUAGAACAACCAGUUACGGUGUACGUUUAACUGUAUCAAAAUAUACUACUCACGAUGUUGGGAUUAUGAUGAUCUCAAGUCUGAGGAUCAUAUACAUAUUAAUCACUAUGAGUAAUGUCGUGACAAUUACAUAAUAAUCCAAGAGACAUACUCAUAAUGGGUCAGUCCAAUGUUGUUCUCUAACACACAUAUUCAUGCAUCGAUUCUGACAUUCCAUAUCAAUGACAACUCUUUAUCAUCAAUCAACUACAUGUUAGUCUUAAUGCAUUAUCGUUGUCCUAUCCAACAAUAAUACUUGACUAAGGAUCUUUUAAGAAUAAUCAUAUUAUUCUUAGGACAUUAUUAUAAAACAGCUUAUUUAUACACACAGAAAAGAAACUUAAAUAAUAAUGGUAACGCCUUAUAUUAAUAAACAUGAUAAAUCAAGUAUGUUAUUACAACCAUCUCAUGAUUGGUCUUUGGGCAUACUCUAACACAUUUAACGUUUGGUCAUCAUCUCUAGCUUAAAUAUAAUUUUUUGGGAAACUAUUUAAUAAGAGAAUAUCUUGAGUGUGUAACCAUUGUCUCAACAUCCAUCAUGAACACACUUUCAUUUGUGAGUCAUCUUGGGACAAUCUCAUAGAGAGUCAUGCAUGACUAGUUUUCCUGAAAAGGAAAUCUCAUCCAGUGAAUUCACAUGAUAAAAUUUACAUUGGGGUGCGGCCAAGGUAGGAACCAACUCAAAAUUUUAUCAUGCUAUCACUUAGGGACCAUUAAUGGCGGUCAUAGGUUUUGUACAAUAACUUUCUCCCACUCAAUAUUUUAAAAUAACAUGCAAGGUUUUUUAUCCCAUAUGUCAAGAAUGAUCAUGCAAUAGUCCUAGUGGCAUUCUUACCUAAUCUAUAUGUCAUGCUUCCAAUAUAUGCAUGGUAUGCUAUAAAAAUUUUAUAAUAUUUACAUUCUUUUAUUCACAAGAAUCAAUUAACCAAAAAACAAACAAUUUUGAUUCUCCACAGUUUUUGUUUUGAGGGAAAAACAUGAGAAGUGAAUGUAAACCAUGCACUAGGUAGGGUCCUAGGAAAGAGAGGCGAGUCAAAUUUGACCGCUUAAAAACCAAGUAUUUCUUAGCUAGAAUCAUUCCUAGACAUGCACAUUCUCAUUACCACACUCCUCACAGUAAUCGAAUAACCUAAAGAAGUGACUAGAACAAUACAACACAAGUAUUUUCUCAUUAUCACACUUCUUAUUUUGUAUUCGAUCAACUACAGAUCAUCUCAUAUAUAUCACAAUUAUAACAUUACAUAAUAUAAAUAUUAUAAACAAUUAUAAAACAGUGUCCAUCAAUGUUUCUAUGGUUCUAUUUCUAGAAUAAAUGAAAAAAAAUAAAAUUACAUAAUUUUUCGCCACAAGGCAUUCCUUGGGCCUUCAACUGGCAUCGCUCCAUCUUCUCCUCAUUAUGGACUUCUUUUAAAAAAAUUACAUUUAAGUCCUAUAUCCGUUUUCGGCUCACAAGAAUUUUAUGAACUAAAGAAAAAUUCUUAUGUGGAGAUGAUAGUCAACAGUCUAUUUCCUAAGAACCACAACCUUGGAAAACAAAAUUAUAUAACAAAUAUAUAAUAUUACAUCCAUUCCCAUAUACAACUCAAAACAUGCAUAAGAUCUAAAGAAUAUCACUUUAUAUGUAAUCAAAUCAUUCAAGAAGAAGAGAAAUUUAUAUUGAUUAUCUGCUUAUACUUACAGAUAAAACACAAACUGACUCUAAUACCAAUUGUUGGAAAAUCGAGUUUGGAAAAUGCAAUGGAAAAUAAAUUUAGGGAAAAAUUAGAGUUUUAAAAAAAACUCCAAAACAAGAACUUGGUUGUGAUAUCUAAAGUAAUAAACACUUAAUCAAAAUUGUAUCUUUUCGAUUCGUCUAGGAUGAACGCUUCGACAUAGUAGUCUUCUCUGUUAUCCUCAAGCUCACGUUUUCCGAGUGUGGUCUUGCUUCAAAUCAGAAAAUUUUUCACAAAAGUACCAGUAGGGUAAUUUUUCAAUUUCUCUAAACUUUUGGGCUAAGUUGUAAAUAAAAAAUAUGUUUAGAAAUUUUCUUAAAUAAUUUCUUUAUAGAAUUUUCUCUCUACAACUUUCUCUUGAAUUCAAGUGUGUGAAAAUAAUGACCCAAGACUCUCUUUAUAUAAGGAGAGUUUAGAGAGUUCAACUAUGAUUAAACUUAAUCACUUUAAUAUUAAAUUUAACAUAAUAUUUAAUCAAGAUAAAUAUUAGUCUAAAUUUAAUAUUAAAUCUUAUUAAAUUAAUAGAAUAUUUAUCUACAAUAUAAACAUUAAAUUAAAUUUAAUAUUAAGAUAAUAACUUUAAUAUUAAAUUUAUAAAAUACUAUUAAGAUAAGUAUUACAUUAAAUUUAAUAUUAAAUAUAUUAAAAUAAUAUUAUUUCUGGAAUAGUUAAUCUGCAAUCAAAUUCUCUAGUAGAAUCCCAAUAGGAGUAUAAUUCUUCCACUACUCAACCAUCGAAGAACCACCGUCGUUGACCAUUUUCCUACCACUGGAAUGUUGUCGUCAUAGCUGUCGACGCCUCGAGUUGGUUCGAUUUCUAGCGGUUCGGUCCGAGCCAAUGAUAGCCAGAUCGGUCCGGUCCAAGCAGUUUUCACAUCCAAGCCCGGUUCGACCAGUUUUUGGGUCUUGGUCUUGAUUUUGGUCUCCCGAGCCCAAUUUACGAUAUCAGGUCCAAUUUUCAAGUUCAAUUACCCAUUGGUCCAACUGUUUGAGUUGAAAAUUAAUUUCCAAAAAUAUCAUAUUAAUUUUAUUAAUUUAAUUUUACUUGAUCAAAAUUAAUUUUUCCAAAAAUGAUUUAGAUUUUCCAAAUUAAUUUUGCAAGAAAAUUCUUUAAACAAAUUCUUUAGUUGAACAAUUCUUACAACCACCCAAUUUAUUUCAACAUCGAAUAAAUUGACUCAAUUAAAUUAUUUAUAAAGUCGUAAAAUUUACUUCUAAUUCAAAUGCAGUCCAGUCGAGCUUUUGUUGAGCUAGCAAACGGACCAAUCAAACAUUUACAAUUAGGAUUUAUUAAUUGUAAUUAUGUCCAGAAGCACCGUUCUGAUAAUUCACAAUUACAUAAUCAUGGAGCCAGUCCACAAUAAGUACUAUGAUUGAAAACUCAUUAUUGUAUACUCUUUACGAAAGUAAUUCAUCCAACUAUUUUGCCCAAUGACCUCAUCAUGUUUGCCUCAUAUGAUAUCCUCCAUUCCUUUGAGUUGAUGUGUUCUCGGGUUUGCUAAAUGGCUGAAACCUAAGCUGCCAUUUCCAUCCUAUUUGGGACUAUGACUCAGGCUAAAGCUAAAGGAUUCAAAUAAGUGUUUGUGGGCUCUUAAGGCCCUAACCGUCCACUUUAUUUUAUUUAAUUAAUUCCACAAUUUAUAAUUUUAAUUUUAUUUAGUAUGUGUCAUGAUUGUGUCGUUGUUAUUACAUCGUUUUAAAUAGAGUCUUAAGAAUGUCUAGUUUUCUACGUGUUUAAUGUGUCUUAAAAUAUGUUAUGGUGUCAUUAUUAUGUUCCAUUUUAUUACAACAUUGUUAUUAUGUUUAUUGUGUCCUAAUGGUGUGUUUAACGUGCCCUAGGGAAAUCUAAUGGCCUUCUUAAGAAGCUAAGGGAUUUUUCGCUUGGCUAAAAGAGAUCAAGCGCGUUCACACCUGUUCAAUUCAGCUUGAAAAGUGACCAUUCAACCAACAAGUGCUUCAUUAAGUGCCACUAUCCAAAUGAGGGCUGAAUAUGGUUGUUGGAAACUUUUCUAGAAAAUGUCUAUUGGGUUUUUCCAUGCCUCAUAAAGCUGCCGUUCACCAAGGGGGAAGUAUGAGCCUUUUGAAGAAUUGCUUAGCCAUUUAGCAUGGUUGAAUUCUUCCCCAAUGUAAUUAAUGGCAACCUCUAUAUUCAAUGCUAAGAUGCAUGGAUGGCUAAGGUCAUGUACUUGAGUUUAAAGUAACAUUUCAUAUCUUUCAAAUUAAGACCGAAUGUGGCCAUUAGCAUACCUAAGCCUAUAAAGAUUUUAGUCAUGUUGUUUUGUAAGGUUAGACAUCUUUGAAUCAAUAUUGUGAGAUUAUUCUCUUGUUCCUUAAGAACUUAUUUCUAACUUAUCAAGAAUUCGUUCUUGUGGCAUUCUCCCAUUUUUGAUCUUAUCACACCCCUUCUUAUCUUUCCGGAGUGUGGCAGUCAACCCUAUACCUUUGGUUCUUAUCUCUAUAUAGAAAGAGGGUCAAGGUUCUUCUUUCUUUCUAAGCUUCUUGAGUUUUAAACAACCAUAUAGAAAUUGGGUCAAGUUAUUUUAUAACGUUGGUUCAUUUUUUGUUCAUUUUAAGUUCGUGAGUUAUAUCUUGUCAAGAACGAAUGGGAACUUAAUAAUCAUGACUCGUGAUUUCAAUACGUAACAAGGUCCAUGUCAUGAGUUAAAUCCGUUCACUCAAUAAAAUCCUAUUUUAUCACAUUGUCACUAUUGUGUCUUUUUAAUGAUUAACAUGAUCACUGUUAACAAAUGGCUAUGAUAAAUUGCUCGUUCGAGAACAAGUAACCGUGGUCACGUUCCAUGUUUAUUAAUCCACACAACACCAAUGAGAGGAUAUCGUUAACUCUUUAAUUGAGCUAUAAAUUCCAUUAUUGCUAAUAAAGUCAUGCCAUACACAAGUCAUGUACCCAACAUACCAAGUAACGGAUCGAUCAUCUUUACAACAUAAGCUUCCACUUAUAUCAAAGCACAUGAGUUACAUAUGCAUGGUCAUUGACUAACUCAGGAUUUUGUUAAAUCACACCAUGAAUGUCACAAGUGAAUUAAUUCAUCUUGGGUCCAAUCCAAUGUAUCAUUCUACCAAUGAAUACAUCUAUGUCUCUACUCGUGGAGUAAACUGCUCUGAUAACCAGGACUAGUCAUCGCCUCAAUUGGAAUUGUAAACGACAUAAUAAUCCUUCUCAGUAUUUGAAUCAAAUGCUCACUUUGAUUUUUUUAUGGGAUUACAGACUCUUUUAUAUUAUCUACUAAAGUAAGUUGUCUUUCUCGCCACGUAAACAUUUUUAUAAUUCAACUUAUAAUCAGUUUGAACUUAGAUAAUCAAUAAGUUAAUAUUUGUUUGUCACAAAUUCACUAUGCAUGCAAAAUAUGAAAGGCAUAAAUACAUAAGACAUAAUAGUAAAAUGUGAACUUUAUUUAUUCACCGUUCAAAUACAUAAAAAAUAAUUACAUAUUUACUACAAUAACAUUUCCUAACACAACCAAGAAGGAAUCUGGCUCGCGACCGUCGAACACCCGGAUGUGGCACACAUUUUGACACGGGAUAAUAGUUGAUUUACUUUAUUAUUGUACUUAUCAUGUUAACAUUUCAAUAAAUAUCAAACAUGUUUAUUGCAUCGAUGUCAAACAUCUUUAUUUUUUAAAAUAAAAAUAAUUUUUUCAUUAAAGUUGGCCUUUGUUAUAAAUUAUUAAUUUGUAUUGUGUAGCAAAAAUGUUUUUUUUUGCAAAGUACAAUAAGUUGAUUACAAUAAACAAUUUAAUAGGUCUAUUCAUGAGGUGUUGUAAUUGUACCAUCCCUUCGGUGUGGACAUGAUGACAUUGUAUGCCUCGAUUGCCUUCACCACCCACAUAACGUUGGUUGGUGUGGCUUCUCCUGGAUAUCGAUGUUAUCGCAUAUCCAAGUGGACGUCGGUCGACCUUUUGGUUUGUGACAAAAUAAUCUAUCGGGUAACAACUUGAAUAGAGCGUUAGAUACAGAUGGCCACUUGCGUUCAUUAGGGACCUAUAGGAAUACAUUUCUCCACACGUUGUACAUGUUUACCUAUUUGUAGACUUCAUCCACAAAGCUUAUUAGAUCCAAACGUAGACUGCUACAUGCUACAAUUACAUGAGCGCAUGGAAAUCGAAGUGCGUCAAAUCUCCCACAGUCACAGGUUCAAUAUCUGAGGUGUACACGGUACGCUCCCCCAACAAUCUUUUGGUUGGGUCUUUCGAAUUCUAUUACCCAAAACCAUAGGUCUUCACGCGAGUGACACACUAGAUGCAUACAAUUCACUCGUGUUGUUGCCUUCCUAAUUUCUUUUAGUAUGUCCUCGCUCCAAACAUGGUCGCCCUGUAUCUGCCCAACAUAAUUCGCCGCUCGCUUUGGAAAAAUUUCAGCCAAAUAGAAGUAUGUCACUUUGAUAACCGAGGUUACCAACAAAUGAUACGUUCUCUUCAAAGCAGAAUUGAUGCAUUCUGCCAGGUUUUUUGUCAUGUGCCCAAACCAUAGACCCUCAUCAUAGGAUUGUGUCCAUUGUUCAAAGGGUAUGUUACCGAGGUAGUCCUCCCCGUCAUCAUUAAUGGCCUGUAAGUUUCUCAGCAUUUCACAGAAACAGUCUUUGAAGAACUCAUACCCUAUCAACAAAAGUGAAUAAUAGUUUAUCCAUAAUGCCCAACAUUUUUUCACUGGUUAAAUAUCAAAGAAUAAUUAAUAGUGGCAAUUAUAUACCCAUGUUGAUCACUUGUGCUCGUGAGCAGUAGAGUCGUAUUAUCUGUGGUAAAUCGAUGAACAUGCCUUAGACAAUACCUAUGGUAUGUGUGGUCCCAAAGGCUUCCCUGUCGUCCAAAUAUGGCUAGAAUUUUAGACCCUCAAUUUGAGAUGAUGCAAAUAUCGAGUUGGGGGAAAACAUGCCUCAUCAACUUAGAAAGGAAGAAUCCCAAUCAUCUGUUGACUCUCCAAGCUUGAUUGCAAAGGCAAUCGGUAGGAUUUUUCAAUUGUCGUACUGUGCCACACCCAACAACAACCAAUGGGUAUAUCUCUUGUACAUAAAAAUACCUUCGUUUGUACAAGUGGCUUACAGUAUUGGAAUGCCUCUCGACAUUGCAUGAAAGUCCAAAACAAAUGUUUGAACACUUGGGAUCCAUGGAGCAACCGAUUGUUGUAGUACGCAACCUGAUACGUACAUCUUCAAGACCCGACAUCACUGCCAUAUCUCAUUGUACGACGCAUUCCACCCACUAUGCCUUCUCCAAUGUCUUCUGCUUUAUGAUCCACGCCUUGCAGUACGAAGACGUGUAAUCGAACUGGCUAUAAAAAUUUGCAAUUAGAACUAGCAUAACAAUUUUAGGACUCGUUUUGACUACAGGUAGUAUUAUAUCUGCGAUCAUCUUUGAAUCCAAUUUCGAAUGGUCCCGUGAAAUACUUGCAACAACACGAGUAGGUUAAGAUUAACAAUUCAACCGUGUCAUACACUAAACCAGUAUUAGUGCAGUAUCUGUGACAACACACGUAUACAGAGCGAAAAAUUUCUCUAUCGUUCACAACCCCGUCUUUCUCUUAACAGAUAUCAUGAUUUUCCAUGCAUAUCUGCUGUCUCGCAUUGCGCACUUCACCUUGAACUUGUCAGAUCAGGAUUUAACCACAUAGAAGUUUACCCCGUUCUUGAUUUUGUAUCGCUUCACUGUAACGAUAAAACCAUCUUCAGUUGAGAACUCUUUCCCCACUUCUAAAUCACCCAAAUCCAUCGAAGAAAUUGUUUGGCCCGACCUUCUGGGUGGUAAUUCUGCAAACUCCAUUCCAUCAUCUAUAAAUAGGUCCACAUUAUGCAUGUGGACUGGAGGUGAGUACGCCGUGAACCAUGGAUCUUUUUCAGCAUCGUCACUGAGACAUUUACCAUUUGAACCCUCUAUCUCUUAGUUCGGUUGGAAUCAGUUCUAAUUCAGAAAAUAAUGCAUUUUCUGAACCAUCAACACCAACAUCUUCCAUGUCAUUCCCUUGUAAGUGUUCCUAGCAUUGAACACCAGCUAACUGAAGUUUAAACCAGAACCACUAACUAAGUGUUGUGCAGGGGUCCUACCACAAAACCCCGAUUGAUCGGUGUUCUGACUGCUGUGGUUGAAAACUAGUGCUGAAACAGAUGGAUGUCUUCCCAUUGAUGAUUCUGGGAUAUCAUAAUGGAAAUUUUCUAAUUGAGAGGUGAACCCACCACACAACUGUGUCGUUGGACUCUCAACUUGUUCUUCCAUUCUAGCCACUCGAAUAGGAACAUAUGUCGACCUCCGAGGACCUUCAUAUGUCCUUGUAAACUCCACAUAUAACUCGAGAAAUGGUGAUCCAAUUCCAAUAUGCGUCUGCACUAUCGCCUCUAACCCCCUCACACCUCUGAUUUUGAAAUCGUCAUAUCUGAUAGGGUCGACUGAAGCACAAAAUUGAUAUUUAAGGGACAAUACUCUAAUCUGGUUGGAUCUGAUAAUUUUUUGCCUAAUUCUUUUCCAAAGUUAUGGCAAUUCUAUGUUCUGGUUAAAAGCUAACCGCGUUGUGUUCUCUGAUAAAAAAAUGACACCAUUUUCGGUGUCAUGCACUUCACCAUCGUAGUAAACAAAAGCAUUCAUUCGUCCACUCAUUUUUAGAUCUAGAUAACCUAUUCCACAUGUUCGACACAAAAUUAUCAUGUAGAGAAAUAGUGCUGUAAUUAAAUAUGAACAACAAAAAUCAAUGCUACUUUACACAAUUGCUCCAACUUAUGCCUUAUAUGUGAACUUCUCCUCUUCUGAUCUUCUUACAAUUUUUCUUUACUCGUAAAUGGAUUAUGCCACUCGAUGUUGAAUUAAUUUGGUUUUAUAAACUAGAGGCGACUUGCAGUUGGUUCAGAAAAUUCUUCAGGCCUAGUGGGGAGUUAAAAAUUGUAAAGAGAAAAUGCUCCAAGUAGGAUGCACUAUCUGAAAACACUUUCAAGUGGGCACACUUUCAAUGUUUCUAAUGAUAGUGUUGUUAGAGUAUGCCCAAAGACCAAUCAUGAUAUGAUUGCAAUAACUUACUUAUUUUACCUCGUUUAUUAGUAUAAGGCAUUGCCAUUAUUAUUUCAAUUUUUUCUAUGUAUAUAAAUAAACUAUUUUAUAAUAAUAUCUUAAGAAUAAUAUGAUUAUUCUUAGAAGGUCCUUAGUCGAGUAUUAUUGUGAGCUUGGACAACAAUAAUGCAUUAAGACUCACGCGUAGUUUAUUAAUGACAAAGUGUUUUCAUUGACAUGGCAUGUCAAAAUCAAUACAUGAGUAUAUGUGUGAACAACAUAUUGGACUAACCCGCUAUGAGUAUGUUUCUUGGAUUAUUAUGUAAUAGUCACAACGUUACUCAUAGUGAUUACUAUGUAUACGAUCCUCAAACUUAAAAUCAUCAUUAUCUUAACAUCAUGAGUCGUAUAUUUUGAUACAAUCAAACAUCCACCGUAACUGGUUGUUCUAUAAAGGCUGAUGUUGGAUAUACUACAAUCUAUGUAGUGGGAUAUGGUUGAUCAAUAUAGGAUUUGCCCCUCCUACAUAAUGGGAGCAAUAUCUUAGGCUACUUGAUUGAAUGAAACUAGAAAUGCAUGACCAUGCUCGAAUAAGUUGAUAUGAGAUAUCAUACUUAUUUGUUUAUCAUAGUCUACUCAGGAUAUCAAGAAACAUUCAAUAGACUAUGCAAGUGUGAAUAUUCCAUAACUUGUGUCCAUUAUAGAUAUAAAGAACAAAAGGAUUAAUACAUGAAGGGUUAAUCACAGAGAGGUUAUAUUGAAUCAUGACUUCUUAUAACUUAGGUAGCAAUGAUGCAUUGCUAGAUGCCACUCAUUGUUUGUAAUAUUAGAAUCGUUCUAGUAUUACUGCUAACACUACAAGAACAUACAAGGUCACACUCUAUGGUUAAAACGAGCGGAAUCCAAACAUAGUUGGUAAUAUUUUUAGCUGUCACAUGAAUUAAAUUGAUUAUAGAAUUAAUUUAAUUGAGCAUUUAAAUAUCGAACAAAUUAUAUGUACAAGCAUGUUGUACACAUAAUGAGAACAUGAUUAAAUUAAUAUAAAUGAAUUUGAUUCGUAUAAAAUUUAACUAAACAUAAUUUAUCGAAAUCAUUGUUAUAAUUGUUGUAAUUAUAAUUUACGAUCGAAUAUUAUUAUAAUUAUUGUAAUUAUAAAUUUUCGAUCAAACAUUAUUAUAAUUAUGGUAAUUAUAAUUAUUACAUUCGGUUAAUUAUUAUAAUGAAUUUUGAUUCAUAUUAAAAAUAUCAACUAUUCCCAGAUUAGGAAAUAUAGGGUUUUUAAGAAAACAUAAUAUACUUGAAAUAAAAAGAGUGAGGUCUUGCAGCCAUUAUAUAGUGAAUUCUCUCUGAAAAUUUUAAGAGAGUUCUUGUCGUUCGUUGCGACACCAGGUGGAUUAUGUAGAAACCGAAACUUUUCGUAUCGGCUUGGAAUCGACAUACAAUUGCGUACUCAAUUUCACAACAAUUAUCUGUAGUUUUUCAGACGAUUAAAAGUAAUCGUUCAUACCCUUCUCACCCCGAUUCAUUUCUCGCACAUGGAUCCCUCGAUGUGAUCUCCAAAUUUAAUUUUUUUCGGCUGCACCAUGGGGUGUACUAGUGUUCUUACAAGUGCGUCCUACUUGGAGUGUUUUCUCUCUAUAAAUUUCAACCCCAGCCUUAUUCCAAGAAACUCAUCAUAUAUCCCGAGAUUCCUGAGAUAUAUUUUCUAAACCUAACUAUUUGAAAAUAAUAGAUAAGAGAAUAAACAAUUUACUAAAAAAUUGGAUCAAACAAAUAUUAAGAAAGCGAAAAAAUUAAUAACUAAUAUUUCAUCCCUCGCGAGUAGACCAGGUUUCGAUUAUGAAUCCAAUUCAAUUUUCCAAUUUGAAUAUACGAUUGGUGUAAAUACGAUGUUUUAAAUUUUGAAAUAAAUAGUUAUUAUUUAACAUCUCAAAAAAUUAUUACAAAAUAAAUAAUUAAAAAACUCAAAAAAAAGAAAUUAUUAAACCCUAAACUCAAAAAACCUUACUUUAUAUACCCAAAACCCUAACCCUAAAAACCAAUAACCCUAAUUUUAAAAAAGUCUGGCAUUGGAAAAAUCAGAGGAAAAGUGUUUCCAGCUAGAAGUGUUUUCAGCUGACUUGGCAGAAAGUGCUUCCAACUAGAAACGUUUUUCAGGCAACACGUUGAAAAUGCUUCCAACUGGAAGUGUUUUCCAAAAAAUGGUCUAUUCCCGUAAAUUUUCCUAAAAUCGGCCUAUUCACGUAAUUUUUUUGACAUUUAUUGGUAAGUUAGUCCAAUUAAAAUAAUUUUAAUUCUUGAAUUAAAAUAAGUUGAAUUUAGAAAGAAAAAGAAAGUCUACCUUGUAGCAUGUCUGUUUGGUUUUCUCUCUGUCUGCUUGUAAAAUGGUGGAAGAAAUGGUGAAUCUCAAUAUAGCAGAAGAUAAGAAAGAGCCGGUGCAAGCUUUGGGGGAUAAAGAUGUGGUAGAAGAGUAUUAUAGCCUAUGUUUGGUGGGGCGGGUAUUAACGAAUAGUGUGGUUCAUUUCCCAUUUACGAGGAAUAUUUUGGUAGAUCUGUGGCAUCUGUUGGGGGGAGUAUCCAGCACGGAUAUUGGGGAAAAGCGAGUCCUGUUUUGAUUUUUCAAUAUGAUAGAUCUGAGGAGGGUGAUGGAUGGAAUGCCCUGGUUUUUUAACAUACACCUAAUUAUUUUCCAUUAACUAGAGAAGGGGGAAAGAUCCUUUGCAAGUCCCUCUCAUUCAUGCCUUAUUUUGGGUGUAAGCGCAUAAUUUGCCGAUGGGUUUCAUGUUCGAAGGAAUGGCGCGUAGAUUGGAAACUUUAUUCGCCAAUUUCUAGAGUAUGAUGUUGCGUUAAUAACAAGGGGAGUAAGGAAGUUUAUGCGUAUUAGGGUUAAAUUAGAUGUCCUGGUUCCGUUGAAAAGGAAGAAGCGUGUAGUCUUUUAGCAUAAUAGAUCCACACAUGCACAGUUCCAAUAUGAGAAGAUCACUUUGUUCUAUUUUUUAUGCGGUAGGUUGGGCCACGGGGAAGGAUUUUGUCCUGUUAGAUUAAUGCUAGGAGCACAGGAGGUGGUUUUUGGUUGGGAUAGCUCGUUGUGGGCUUCACCGCAGAGGGCGGUGCCGGUUGCUAGUUGCUGGCUGAGGGAAGAUCCGGGGGAUGGAGUUGGAUAGAGGACAAGAGGGGAGGAAUUUUGGGGAUAUUCAAACUGCUCAAUCUUAUAACAGUGAACAAGCGUUGUUUUAUUAAUGAUAAUUUGAUAACAAUAUUGUUGAAAAUACCAAUUUGUUUAGAGCUACUGAAGUCUCUGUUUCUCCAGGUUUAUGAAAGCAAAUACAUGAAUGGUUACCUUUCCCAGUUGGCAUAAUUCCAGUAGGGGUGAAAGUAGAGUACUUCCUCCUCAAGUUCAACUCCAAACUUGCUGUCAACCUUAUCCUUCACCAAAGCAAUGAGAUUGAGCAUGUCUUGAGAAGUGGAGGCACCAUUAUUAACUAAGAAAUUGGCAUGGAUAUUGGAAACCAUUGCUCCUCCUAUGCUACACCCUUUCAAUCCAGCUUUAUCAAUCAACUCAGCUGCUGAAACACCCAAAUUCACCGGAUUCCGAAACACCGACCCAGCGCUGCGUUCAUUUACUGGUUGAGUUGCUCUUCGCCUGCAAAUAACAAUUGUUUAUCAGUAAGCAAACCUUUUUCAUACACAGGUUUUGACUUUAAAAGACAGGCAACCUCUUCAAAAGCUCUUGUUGCCUUUUCUUAGCUGACCCUGAGCGCUCUAACCGGAACGUAGCAGCCACGAUUGCUGCCAAGUUGUCCAUGUCCUGAAACGAUGAUGAUCGGUAGCCGAAAGUGAGAUCAAUUCUGUUCAGUGUCCGAAAAUUUCCUUCAGUUGUAACAAUGUCUACGCUUUCAAUAACAUUGGCAGUCUCCUUCAAAAACAAAUGAUCCUUUUUAGCUUCUUCAACCACGAAAAGUAACAAAAAUCCAUUAAUGGUUAGGGUUUAAUCUCAAGAUAAGUUGAAGUCUGAACUCGAGUUCCAUUCAAAAUUCGCAACCCAAAAUCCAAAUCGAGUAUGAUGAACUAUUUCAAACUUAUAUAUCAAAUAACUUUUCUCUACCUUCAACUUCAAACUCAAUUAUUUUUGCUCGAGCUUCGAAUUCCAAAUUAGAAUACUCCAAUUCUAGAGCUCGACAAUGACCGAACCAAAUUGGAGUUAAGAAUUAGAGACAUACCUGACCAUUUGCUCCAGCAUUCAUGUAAGUUGCACCUCCUACAGUCCCAGGAAUGCCUGCUGCAAACUCAAGACCUGUAAAUCCUUCAUUGCAACUCAGACUUCCCAAGUGAUUAAAUCGAAAACCACUACCAGCCCUAUAAACUCCAGGUUCCAUCCUCUCUAAGAAGUCAAUCUGAUUUAGAAUCACACAACCAUCAAAACCCAGAUCAUCAAACAGACAAUUUGAGCCUUUGCCAAUCACAACGUAUGGAAUGGAAAACUCACGACAAUAUCUGCAUUACGUAUCAGUUGAAAUCUAAAAUGUUGGUCAUUGAAUCAAAGAGCUUUCAGCCUUGUCAAAAGAAUCAAAUUCAAAUAAAUUACCAUUUCUACUUUAUUAAGAUAAGGUUGAAGAUAGCAAGAAGAAUGAAACCUGAUGGCAGAAAGCAGAUGGGUUUGGUGAAAGACUUGAACAAAGUAAUUGCAAGGGCCACCAAUGCCCCAAGUGCUAAGAUCCUUCAAGAGUUUCUUGCCUCUGACGAAUUUCAAGGCAUUCCAAUUCUGGGUUUGCUCUUUGUUACUGGAAAAAAUGGGGGUUGAGUUUCUAGGAGAUUGAACAACGGGGAAGGCCAUGGACGCCAUUUUAGUGAAGGUUGGAGGAGUUGGGAGCAUGAGUGACGGAUUUUGUCGGGAAGUUGAGAACGGGAAAUUUAUUUCCAUCAGGUUCUUGAUGGGAUUUCACUAUCAAAGAUUUAAACACUUCCGUUUAAUGCGUUAUUACGGUAAAAAGUUCUUUCACUCCACUCAAUUUGGGAAAUAGUAACUGAGGGUUAAUUUUAUAUAAUUUUGAUUAAUAUAAUAAUUACAUAUUUUAACAAUUUAAUUUUAAUCCUAAAAAUUUAAUAAAUUUAACAUUUAAUAUAUAAAAAUCAAUAAAAAAAUACAAUUUAAUCUUCAGCACCCAUAGCAAUUCUUCCUCCUAUCUUUGGAUCCUUCCAUCUUAUUUUUGAAUUCUAAAGCUCUAAAUACUUUCACAAAUAAUGUUUCUUUUUUCUUCUUAAUAUCUGAAAAUCGUAAAGAUUCAAGGAAGCUUCUUUAGAUUCACUUUAAGACGGUAAUGUAUUCCAUCGACAUCCAACCUCUUUUGUAAUAAGUCGUUGAUUAUUUUUAUUAUUUUCCUCCAUCGACUAUAUUUUUCUUCUCAUAUUUAGUUCCAAUCAACAUAAUUAAUCUGUUUCCAUUCCCAUAUUAAUUGCUUUUACUUUUCCUUUUUCUUCCCCUUCUUGAGGUUAAGAAAUCCCAUAAAAGUAAUUUUUUUUAAUCAACUGAGGUGUUUGUCUGGGUUUGGCUUAGUUGCCCAUCUCAACAAAGCAAAAGUUUUGAGAAAUUGGGUUCUGAAUUCUACAUUGGAUGGGUUUUGAGAAAUUAAGGUUCCUCCGUUAGAUAGGUUCAACGCCAUUUAUAUAUGUAAAAAGAAGAGCAUUCAAUAUGGGAAUGGAAAUUGGAAACAUUUUAACUUUACCACCAUCGGAUCAUGCCCAAACUCAAACCAGCAGCACUUUUCUUUUUCCAAAAUUAGAGAGCAAAGGGAAGUGAAAUAAUAUAAUAUGUCUUGAUUACCAACAAUUGCGGAUCUAAACCAUUGCUUCCAGCAUUCACCUCCAAUGGGUCAUUCGUAUCUAACAGGAUUUCGAAUAAAUUGCCUGAAACACAUAGUUGGAAAUUUUGAGUAUUUUUAAAAUAUUUUUUUAAAAUUUGAGAAAAUUUGAAAUUUAUAUAUAUUUGAAGUUUAUUUUUUUAUAUAUUUUUUAUUCUCAUAUAGUUUUUCAUUUUAGAAUCAAAACCAAAUUGAUUGAAGCUGUAAAUACUAAGGGUUAAAUUUGAUUUUUUUAAAAAUUGGAACCAAUUUGACAAAAUAUGAAAAUAUUAAAUGCUAAAAUUGUUAUUAUACCAAUUAAAAUUAUUUAAAGCUGGCAAAAAAAAUGAUCGUCCUUAGUUGCACAAUUUUGAAAUUUUUAGAGAUUAAACUACUUUGUUUUUUUAGAAGAAUCAAUUUAAUCAAUAUCGAAUUUGACAAGGACAGGGGAGGUCUUUCCACCAUGUUAAUUACUAUAAUUUUAAAUUUCUGAUAUUUAAACAAAGAAGGGGAAGAAAUACUGGAUGGCAAUUAAAGUGGAUUUAGAGAAAGCUUACGAUAGAAUUCGGUGGGAUUUCAUUAGUGAUACUUUGUUGGACGUUGGAUUUCCUUCGAAUUUAAAUGAGGUGAUUAUGGAGUGUAGUACUUCGGCUUUCAUGCAGAUAUUAUGGAAUGGAAAACCUUCAGUCGAAUUCGUUCCAAGGAGAGGCAUUAGACAAGGAUGUUGUAACAGCCCGUUUUCGGUAAAAUCGGAACAAUGGUUUCGGGACCACAAAUCCAAUUUCGGAAAAAAAUUUAUUAUUAUAUUAUUUUAUAGUCUAUAGUAUGAUAGUAAUGUCAUAUAAAAAUUUCGUAAAGAAAUUUUACCGAUUACAUGUUUAAUUUGAUAAAGUGCCAAAUUGCACAAAGUGCAAAAGUUGAGUUCUAAUAGCUAAAGGGAUUAAAUAGCUAUAGAACUUUAAAUUGGAGGUCCUUAUAUGGUAAAUAGACCAUUUAAAAAGCUUAGUAAUUAAGAAUGAUGAUUCAUCCAUGGAAAAUAAAAUAAAGAAAAGGAUGAAAUUAGAAAGUGAAAUAAUAAAUGAUAAUAAAUGAUGAAAAGAUAAAAAUAUCAUCAUUUAUAUCAUCUUUCCCAAAUUAAAAGCAUGGAAACCCUAGCACUGGAAACCUAAGCUCAAGCCAACUUAUUUUGCUUGAUUAGGUAAUUAUUCUUGCCCGUUUUUAAUAAUUUUUAUAUUUCUCAUAUCGUAAAAGCUUAAUCUAGCUAUCUUCAGGAUUAAUUUGCAAAGUUAUCAAGGUACUAGGGUUUUGCCAUGGAUGAACAUAGAUGAAUUAUGAAGUUUUAUGGUAGAAAAUGAAAGGUUGUUGAUAAACAACUUUUGUAAAGGGAAUUUUGAUGAAAUUAUGAUUUAGGAACUAAAUUGAAAAGAUAUAAAAUUCAUGAAAAAAUUCUGAAUUUUAUGAAAUACAUGGACUGUAAAUUUUACAUGUAAAAAUCGGCUAGGCUUGGAAUAAGGAUUAAAUUGCAUGAAUUUCAUUUUUUGAACCUAGGGACGAAAUCGUUAUUAAUUAAAAUUUUAGGGGUAAAAUGGUAAUUUUGUCUGAGAUAUGGAUUGAAUUGAAAUGAACAUGAAUUAAUGUUAAAUUCAUCAUAUAGAUUCGGAUAGACCAAAUUCGGAGUUAGAACGAGGAAAAGAGAAAAUGUUGGAUUAGUAGAUUUUGUGUACACGAAUAUUUGUCGAGGUAAGUUCGUGUAACUAAAUUAUGUAUAUUAAUAUGUUUUAAUUGAAUGUUGUGUAUGUGAACCGUAUAAAUGCUAAAUAUAUGAAAUUGAUUACAUAUCCAAAAAAGCCCGAUAAAUAUUAAAUCUCGUUUGAAUAAUGGAAUUCGAUGGAUACAGAAUUUCCCAAUUGGUUGUAGUCCUGCAUGUGUUGCGGACACACCACAGCUUCUACGAGCAUCCUGUUAUAAGCCCUCUCGAGCUUCCCGUUAUAUGGUUCCUGUGAGCAUCCUGAUCGAUAGUGAUCUUGCAUAUGUUGCGGACUACCGCAGCUCAUUGUGAUCGUCCUGUUAUAUGAUCGGUUGUGAUCCUGCAUAUAUUGCGAACACAAACACAGCUCCUUAUGAGCGUCCAGAUAUGGCUCGUUUGAACUUCCUGAUAUAUAGUUAUCCGGAGCUCCUGAUUAAAGGCUCUUCGUGAGCUUCUUGAUUAAAAGUUCUUUGUGAACUUCCUGAUUAUUACUCUUAUGAGAUUCCUGUUAUAUAGCCCGGAUAAGCUUCCUGAUAGGCUCUUUAUGAGCUUCCCAAUUAAUGACUCUUUGCGAGCUUCCUGUUAUAUGGUUUAAGAGAAGAUUUCUCGAUUAUGUGCUAUAAAGAGCACUCUUGAACAUGAAUUGACAGAUUUCUAAUUUGUACACUUCGAGUGUACUACCUGUGUAUCCAUCGAUAUUUCAAAUAAAUUCAACGGGAAAAAUCCUGACAUGAGAAAAUAUGAACAUGAAAUGAAUUAAAACACGUAUCUACCUGAAAUACAUGAAAAUGAUGAUACAUGAUUUAUGGAAAUACGAGAUGAUAAUAAAUGAACAUGGAAUUUGUUUGAUAAAUAUGUUCAUCCAUGAUUAUAGAUUUGUACACCUUGAGUGUAUUACUCGUGUGACACUAACAUUUCAAAUGAUUCAAUGGGCAAAGUACCGACAUGAAAUAAUCUGAACUCGAGACGAAUUAUCAUGAAAAUGUACUUGAAUUACAAGGAUAUGAUUUGUAUAUGUUAUAUGAAUACAUGAUGUGGAAAGUAUAUGUACAUAGAAAUCUAAUUAUUGUUGAGCCCAUACAUGUUUCUUGAUAUUUAUAUGAAAUAUAUCACUAACAAUGGUGAUGAGGAUAUGUGUUAGGGCUCGUGACCAAGUUGAUUGAAUGUGCUUUGUAUGUUUAUAUUGAAUUUAAAUGAGUGGUAAGUUAAUUACCAUGUUAUACGAACUUACUAAGAAUUUCAUGCUUACUCUAUUUUAUUUUCCCCUGUACUAUAGUAAUUCGGAGGCUCAUUGGACUGGAAGCUUGGCGGAGAUCACUCACACUAUCCAUCAGCCUAUUUCAGUAUAUAUAUAUAUAUAUAUAUAUAUAUAUGGUAAAUCAAUUAUGGUUAUAAUGGCGUGUAUAGGUUAAUUGGCCAAUAUCGACAUAUAAAUGCUUUAAUUGUAUCUAGCCAUUGGAAUGGCUUGUGAUGGAUAUGUUUGGUAUGUGUUUAAUAUGGUUGAUUGAUAGAAAUUAUAUUGGCAUAUUGAUGAUUGAAUUAAGUUAGCAUAUUUGAUAAGAUAUGGAUAUAUGUGAACUAUGUAAUUUAAGUAAGGGUGUAUACUUGAUUAUAUGAGGUAUUAUAUCAUGUAUAGGACUUGAUUUUGAGUUGGGUUAAAUGACCUAUACUAGCUUGCGAAUGUGCUAAAGUGUUGGUGUAGGAGGAUGACAAAAUGGGGUGAGAAAUAUGGCUUGGAAAAUAGCCCAUUUUUGUCCACACGGACAGAGACACGAGCGUGUGUCUCAGCUAUGUGUGACACACGACCUAGCACAUGGGUGUGUGACCUAGCUGUUGUCCCCUACAUCUUUAAAAUUUCAAAACAGAGUGCCCAGGUAUUUACACAUGGCCUAGCACACAAGCGUGUGGCUUGCCUGUUUGACCCAAGUCAGAGAGUUACACAGCCUGAGAGACGGGCGUGUCCUCACACUGCUUGACCACACGGGCAUUUGACCCCUGCACCUAGGAAAAAGUUUGAGAUUUUGUGAAAAAUUCUCUGAGUAUCUGGUUUCAUCCCGACUCGUUUCUAAUGCAUAUUUUUGACCUCGAGGGUUCAUAUAAGGGACUUUAUGUUUGAUUUCUGACAUAAAUAUUGUAUAAAAUUAAAUAUCAUUUUACUUGAUCUAUAUAUUUCGGUAAUGCUUCGUAACCCUGUUUCAGAGACAGAUACGGGUUAGGGGUGUUACAGAUGUCCAAUGUCUCCUUAUAUCUUAGUGCUUUGUAAGGAAAAAUUGGGCCAUUUAAUUCAUAAGAAUGUUGAGAAUAAACUGUGGAAACCAAUUUUUCAGGGUAAGAAUGGCCUCCUUUAUCACAUCUUUUAUUCGUUGGUGACCUGUUCUUGUUUGCUGAAGUAGAUAUUGAUUAGGCUAAGGUCUUAAAAAAUGCUCUCAACACUUUUAGAGAUGUCUUGGGACACGAAGUCAAUAGACUUAAAACCACUGGCUCUUCUCUAGCAACAUAGACUCCAACCAUGCUAAUGCCAUCUGUAGUGUUUUUGGUUUUCGCCAGACUGAUGAUUUGAGGAUUUAUCUGAGACUACCUCUCAUUCACUGAUGAAUAACAGUGAACUCUUUCAAAUUCAUUGUGGACAAAGUUAGACGAAAGUUGGACAGUUGAAAUGCCAAAACGCUAUUUGUGGUGAGAUGAGUAACUUUAGCUCGGCCAGUUUUAUUGUCGAUUUCUAAUUAUUUUAUGCAAACUGUGAAAAUCUCGUUUAGUAUUUGUGCAGAAAUUGAAAAAAUUGCUCAGUGAUUUAUUUGGGGGAGUUAUGGAACCUUUCAAAAACCGGUGUUGGUAAAAUAGGGAGAUUGUUGUCAACCUUUGCAUAAUGGGGCCUUAGGUAUCUGGAGACUUAAGGAACAAAAUGAUUCUUUUUUGCUUAAUUUGGGAUUUAAUCUCCUAACCAAUGAGCAAGCUUUGUGGGUAAGGGUACUCCGUUCUAAGUACAAGCUCUUGGAGGAUUUUUCUAAAGACAUUUCUCGAAGCAAAUGUUCUCUUGUCUGGAGAUCGCUUGCGAAGGUUUGACCCAUUUUGCGUUAAAAUUUUAUUUGGUCAGUUGGUGAUAGGAAUCAUAUAAAAUUUUGGACUAUCAAUUGGAUUUCUGAAAUAGGGCCGCUUAUAAACCAUUAUUUGGUUCCCUCUCUGAUUGAUGUUUCUAUUAUGCUUCAUGAGGCGGUGGAUAUUGAAGGUAAUUGGCACUGGAAAUACUUGAGGUGUUUUUUAAAUGAGGAUAUUCUAUCUUAAAUCAGAGGAAUUUCGACUCUGAAUUCUUUAACAGGCUAUGAUGAUGUUAUUUCGAGCUGGGCAGCUAAUGGAAAAUUUAGCAUCAAUGAGGCUUACAGUAAGCUAACAAUUAACUCAUUGAAAAUGCAAGAAGAAAAAUGGAAUCUUGUUUGGUAUUUGAAUGUCUUACAACGUGUUCAACAUUUUAGUUGGAUUGUGUAUAAGGGACGUCUCUUUACUAAUUUGGAAAGGUGUAGACAAGGAUUGUCAAAAUACCAUCAUGUAAGAUUUAUGGGAAUACAGAAGAAUCUAGUCUUCAUGUUUUACAAGAUUUUCCUAAGGAAAAAGAAGUGUGGAAUCAAUUAAUCCCUCACAGAAUUCAGAUAAGUUUUUCACUUACUCCUUAGAGGAUUGGCUGACUUUAAACAUGGAAAAUAAACUUGAGGUUACUCUCUAGGAUGCGGAUUGGCCAUCUUUGUUUGGGAUUGUUUGUUGAAAAAUUUGGAAACAGAGAAAUGUGUGCAUGUUUCAAGAUGACCAUUGCAACAUAAGCAAUUUGAUUCAUUCUUCGUGGUUAUGGGCAAGGUCCAUUAAGUAGAGAUAGAUAAGUUCGAGAGGGAGUAAUGGGAAUCAAAUAAGAAGCCAAAGAUGGGCCCCUCCACCUAUUGGUUUCUUUAAAAUAAAUACAGAUGGCGCUUGCAACUUGAGUUUGGGUUCUGCAUGGUAAUUGGAUGGUAAUUGGAUGUGGGGAAUCGGAAGAAGUAUUGGUACAUGUAGUGUACUACAAGCUGAGCUUUGGGCAACAUAUGAUGGCCUCUGUUUUGCCUGGGAAGCCUAAUGGGCAAAUGUUAUUAUUGAGACAAAUAGUGUGCAAGCUAUUAAAGAUGUUGUGCGAAUCCAGGAACUUUGCCAACGCGAAUGGAGAGUGCUCUUUAAAUAAGUACCAAGAGAGGUGAAUUUGACUGCUGAUAUUUUAGCUGGUUUGAUGAAAGAUGCUCCUAUUAGCUUAAGAAUAUUUCAUGCUCCCCCUUCACAGGUUGAUGAUCAAUUGUAGACAGACAGACGAGUUAUGCUACCCAGCAUAGAUACUACUAUUAGCUUGUAAUUGAAGCUUUUUAUUUCUUGUUACAAAAAAAAAA
rnacentral:lncRNA from 1 species